UUGAAAUUGUAAUUUUUAUAUAUUACUUCACAUGGGCAGAUUCAUCAUCACUUAUUCUAUUUUUCUAGGAUAAACUAUUUCUUUAAGUAGAAAUGGUCGUAGAAAUAACAUACUAAUUCUUUGAGUAGAAAUGGUCAUGGGAAAAAUCAAUCCAUGGAUUGCAAUUAAUUGUCUUUUUAUUAUUAAGUAUAUAGUAUUGACUUAUUAUUACCGAGCCCACACAUUUCUCAAGUCAUCAUCUAUAGCAAAAGAGAACUCCCAACGUUUUCCAAUGCUUUUGAAGCUUGUCGACAAUAUCCUUUGAGGAAUAACACUUAUCCCCUUUAUUCAACACAAGCCUGCCCCAAAGAUUAUGCUUCCAAAUCUCCAGCCCUCAUAUAUUGGCAUCCUGUGUAAUCUUAAUCGAAAGAAUUUCCCCACGAAUGGAUGGAGUGGGAAGUGGUUCAGUAGCUGACACCCUCGCUGCUGUAAAAACCCGUCGUGCAAAGGAGAGCUGCUGUUUUGGUGGUGUAGUAGAAGGAAAAUCUACCUUAUUGUUAACGUGAGAAGUUUCUGAAGGAACCUUGUUAGCAAAGAAUUCGGACUGCCAAUCGAAGGUCAUGGGUGAUAAUUGCAAUCAGAGCUGCUAAAGUGGAAUUUGUCCAAUCCGUGCCUGAAGAAACCCAAGCGUUGUAAUUUUUUUUCUUUUGUAUUUGGUGUAUGAUAUCAUCAUUGGCACCAAGCGGUGUAAUUCCAAUUUUUUUUUUAAGUAGGCUUAAAUGAAUUAUAUUACCACGACAAAGACCCUCCUGGCACAAGAUGGUGUAACAAUUGGAUAACAAUGGGAUCAACAACGUUGUAAUUUGAAAAACUGCCCUGAACAAGAAAAUCCAACAACUAACAAGACAACAAUCACAAAUGAAUGGAGAAUUGAAUUGGAUUUGGAAUUGACAAAUGAAUGUGGGAUGGCGCUCAUACAAGGAGAACCCUAGCAGAGCAUCUAUGCAAGAAUUCCUUUUUACACUACGAUGAAUUGGAAUUGUAAUUCAUUUUUUACUAUACAACGAUCAACCUAUUUAGUGUUUACAUAGACCAUGCUUCUCUGCUUCAAGAUGCGAUGUAACAUCCUGCAAUUUCCUCUCCAUAAUUAAUUUUAACUAUGACCCAAUUUUGUAUUGUAAAGUGAUGCAUAUAAGUUGUUUUCUCAUAUUUUAGGAUUUAUGUUUUUAUGUGUAAUAGUAGGAGUGUAUGAGUAGUGGGGGGUGCACCUAGUAAUAAGAUAUUGAACCACCUCUCACAUAAGUGGCUGAACAAUCUCUCACAUUCCAAAUAGAAAAACAAAAAAAAUAAAAAAACAGACACAAAAACAAACGGCAACCUUCUUUCUCUAUUCUCUCUAUCAGCUAACCUAAUUUCACCAUCUCCACAAUUUUAAACCACCAAUUCUUCCAUAACUAUCAAAUAAAAUCCACAUGGAAGAACAAAGUUGGAUUAAGCAUGUAAAUUUCAGUCUACGAAACUUAAAAAAAGAGAUUGGAAGCAAAUAGUAGCAUUGGGUUUAGGGUUUAUAAAGGAAUAGAGCAGGUCCAUCCAAAAUUAGCAAAGGCAGGUAGAAUUUGAGAGAAGAAACAAGGUUUGAGAGAAAAAGUCAUUGUAACACCCUAUUUCCCAACGAUAAUUAUUAGAUAAUAAAAUAAAUUUAAUAUUUAGGAUGUUACAAAACUUCACAUGAUUUCACAUAUUAGCAUAAAUUUUCCUUUUAAAUAAUAAUUUCAACAAUGGAAAACAAUCAUCUGAUCUCAUUAAUAAAAAUUUCUCUUGUCGUUCGACAUCAAAAUAAAAAUAACAACAGUUCUCAAGAUUUAAACUUAACGAUAAAUAAAUUCAACGUCAACUCCAACCCUAGUGUUACAAUAUCAGAGCUCGUAGCGACUACAUUCAUAUUCAACUACCAAACAACAUAACUAAACGGAGGGCAUCUCAUCGUCUCCACCUUCUAAAACGUCCCACUGCUACUCCUCAGCAACCUGAGUAUCUCUACUCAAAGUACAUUAAAUAAGGGGUGAGAAAUCCUGCCAUAACAUAAUAAUAGGGAAAAGCACGCACAUUAAAUAAAUUUCAUAGGAAUACAAUUUCUACUAUCGCAUCACUCUCAACGGUUAUCAUGUAUAGCCUUUUCUUUUCACAAAUCACGACAACACAUUAUUUUCACACAUAAACAAUUAGCAUAAACAUCAACAAUUACACAUCAUCCAUGACGUCACCAAAUCACAAAAUAUCAUCCUAUAUAUGCGAAGAUGCAACUCUUUCCUAACACCUAUAUGCAUGCCGGUAUCGGUAUCUACUCAACAAAAUUGUAUGUCAAUGUUAUGUUAGUGAACAUACACGUCACCAGAAUCGUCACCAGAAUCUUAAUCAUGAUAUGAUGCAUGAAUAAAUUCAUUAAAUACAACACCAUAGAAUUUACAUAUUUACUCACGAAUAAUGUCACCAGAAUUUAUAUGUUUUGCUCAUCAUUAUCGUCACCAGAAUUUAUAUGUUUUGCUUAUCAAUAUCAUCACCAAAAUCUAUGUUUUGUUCAUCAAUAUCGUCACCAGAAUUUGUAUGUUUUACUCAUCAUUUACUUCACCAGAUUCUACACAUUUUUCUCAUCGUUACAUCACCAAAAUCCACAUAUUUUACUUAUCAUUGCAUAACCAGAAUCUACAUAUUAUAGCUCGUCAUCCCUUAACACUCUCAUAAUAUUGAACUCAUCGAUUACCCUAUUCUUCAUUUUUAGUUUAAGAUUUUACCUCAGUGUUAUCAUUAUGUUAUCAUUACUUAUAACGACUUCAAUAUUUACAACUAAAACUUUAUUAUAUUUUAAGGCUCUAUCUCCCUAUUAUCAAUCACCUUUGACACCAUUAAUUAUCAUAAACCACUAUCCCAUAUUUUCAAUUAAAUCCGUCUUAUGCUCCUCUAGUUAAUUCAUAUCUUAGGCUCACCAUUGCUCUAAAGGAAUCUCUUCUAAAACACCUAGAUAUACGUCCCUCCCUUAGGAAUCACUUCUUUCAUUUUUAACUUAAGGUCAUUAUCUCAUUAUUAUUAUUAUUACUCUUAACAUCAUCAAUUAUCUUAAACGACCACACAUUAUUCUUCGUUUAUUAUAAUCUUGUACUCCUCUAUCUAACAAUUAUCUUAUUAAUUAAUUAAAACUAAAGAUUUCAUUCCGAAACUAUUAACCUACACAGUAAUUCUACUUUGAAUAUCAAAAAUCUAUUUAUAUCGUCGCAUUUCUAACUCUUUCUGGCCUGCUUAAUAAACCAAGAGACCAACUACUGAAAGUGCUACAUAGUUUCUACUCCUUAAAAAUCACAAAUCCAUAGUUUCCAGUCCUUAAAAAUCACAAAUCCUAAUGUGCCGUAAGAAAUUUUCAUUCGUCCCAAUAUGGCUACACCAAAAAAAUUAAAUUAAGAUAUCUAAAACCCUCACGCAACCAGCAACUCAAAAUACCCAAUUCUUAUUUCUAUCUAUGGCUUGGCAGUACCAACACAUAGUAUAGUAUGCAAGAUUCCCAUAUAUAUCUCUUUGAAUCAUAGCUAGCUUACUUUUGGAAUUCUACUUUUAUCUUUUAAUAAACCAUUCGAUUGAUAACAAAAAUGUGAGAAAAUUAAGGUCACGCAUCACACUUCAUGGUUGCAUUAAAAUCUGAAUCCAUAUAUAGUUCUCUUAAACUACACUAAUGCUCUCGUAGAUGUUUAAAAGGUUAUGCUGAAUUUUCAUGGAAAACGCAGCAUGACUUACAUGUGGUAUUUUAAUCAUAAGUAAAGUUCUAAAAAUUUAAAUGGAGUCCAACCAAAAAGAAACUGAAAGCUAACAACCAUAUAUACAACUUCGAUGAAGUCGCUCAAACCUAAUUCGAAACAGAGAAUGGUAGAAAAGUUGAUUUUCCUAGGCUAGGGAAAAAGCACAACCUUGCUGAUCCCAGCUGAUCCCUGUGUAGUAUUUUGAUCAUAUAUUGAAUUCUAGAUGCUUAAAUCGAGUCCCUUCAAAGGUUGGUGAAACUAACAUCCAUAUCUACAACUUUUGUGAAUACACCUAAAUCCAUUUCAGAACUUAAAGUUGCCAAAACAUUAAUAAACGCACGGUGACAGCAAAAUCGCAGUUCUUCUGCGAUUUAACUUUGGGGAACCCUUUUUGACUCCGUUUUCGAUCAUAUACUCUCUAAAAUCGGCCCUAAUCUUUAUCCCAUGAUUACCCUAUCAUUCAAACAUUAACUAUUUGUUAACCUACCAGAUUAUAUACUCAUCUUAAGUCUUAAAAAAACUUAGAUUCAAAAACAAUAAAUUAGUUUUCCUCAAUUCUCAUUUUUCAACUUCAUCUUUUAUUUCGUUCAUCAUAAAUCUCUCAUCAAAAUCUCACAUAUUAACAACAACAUCAUAUUAAGAAUUAAAAGACCCCGUCAUAUAUUAAGAGACCCUAAAGUGCAAAGAUUUUCCCAUUACCUCGAAUUCUCCAAAACGCGGUGUUUGGCUCUCUUCUUCUUAGCUAGGGUUUCCUUCUCUCCUCUCUUCUCCUCUUUUCUUUUCUCCCGUUCAGCAAGAGUGUUUAUUCUGAUUUUCUAUCUCUCUAUUUAUACUAACAAAACUAGAUUACUUAUUAUUAUUGUUGUUGUUGUUGUUGUUGUUCUUGUUGUUGUCCCCUCCACUUAUCACAAUUUAAUCCCUCCUCCUCCGCUUAUUUUAUUACUUAUAUUCCCCACCUCCCAUCUCCAUUAUAUAUUAUUGGGUUAAAUAUGUUAUUGGUCCCUAUAAAUAUACUAACUUUUCGUUUUAGUCCCUCUUAAAUUUUCCUUCAACUUUUAGUCCCUAAAAAAUUUUCCAUCUUCACUUUUGGUCCCUCUUUUAAAGUAAACUCAUAUGUAGAAUUCAUAUUUUUGAAUCAAAUUUUUUAGAAAAUUCAUAAUAUUAAAAGAAUCUCUCCCAAAAAAAAAUUAGAAUUUUUUAACAAAACAUGAAUUUAAUAUGAAUUUUUAUAUUAUUUAUGGUUAAAAAUUCGGUGGAUUCUAGGGUGAGGGUUCAAUUAAAUCCCUCACCGGUGGACCAUGAACAAAAUACCAUUAGAUUUAAUUAAUGGUUUAGAUUUUUUUAAAAUAAAAAAUGAGAAGUAUUUGGAUUUUUACACACGAUCGUGUCCCUUUCAGGUUUUCUUCCCUGUGUCAAACUACACGUCUGGUUUCUUUAAUUUUUUAUUAAGAAUUUAUGCUUUGAGUUACAAUUGUUGCAAGUUACAACCCCUCUCUACAAAAUUAAUUCAUCACCUCCAUGUUUUCAUUCAACGUAUUAAUGAUUUGAUAAGUUAAAAAAAUAAUGAACUUUUCAUCCUAAAGGAAUGAAACGCUCAUUCUCUGCAACAAUUUCAACACUGGACUCGCUGAUAAUUAUUUGAAAGCUUUUUCCUUAAAAAAAGUUAUGAAAUAUUGAAUGGGUUGUUCUUCAUGGCAUUGAUAGAAAUGGAAUAACAUGAAGAAGGGUUAUGCGCUUGUGCAUACAGUCACCGAUGGGAUGGGAGAAAAGGCUAGAAGAAGAUGGAAGGGAGGGAAGAGACAAAAAAUCUAGUGCAUACGGUGUAUAAUAAAAUAUGUGCACUUGAUUAAUCUAACGACUUUUUAUGUAGAGCUGUCAAAACGGGCCGGGCCUUACGGGCCGGCCCGUUUAGCCCGAUUAAUUAUAGGGCUUGGGCCUUAAAUAUUGAGCCCGAAUUUUAAUAGGGCUUUUUAGCCCGGCCCUAAAAAGUCCGGUACCCGUUAGGGCAAGCCCGAACGGGCCGCGGGUAGCCCGUUAGCCCGCAUAACAAAAAAAUCCUAUAAAUUAUAUAUAUUUUUCAAAUAAUUCUUUACUUUGUUGAUUAUCAAAGUAAAAAAUAAAAGUGAAAAUUCAAUGAAUUAACACAUGAAUGUAAUAUAAAAUUAUAUUUACUCGUUUCGUUAUUUAUAUUAAAGAUCAAAUAUAUAAAUAUCUAUAACUUUUUUUAGGGAAGUAAAUAUCUAUAACCAUAACGUAUCUAAUUUAUUUAAAAUCGUUUUCCUCGCCGUUUUAGUUUACGACUGGUGUACGAAAAUGUUUACAAUUUAUUUUUGUGCUAGACAUUAUUUAAACAUAUUAAAAAAUUAUUUAUAAAAAAAAUUAAUUUUUAAUACGGGCCGGCCCGUUAGCCUGCGGCCUGUGUAGGGCCGGGCUCGGGUAGUAUAUUUUNNNNNNNNNNNNNNNNNNNNNNNNNNNNNNNNNNNNNNNNNNNNNNNNNNNNNNNNNNNNNNNNNNNNNNNNNNNNNNNNNNNNNNNNNNNNNNNNNNNNUGCCGAUAUAGUCAAGAAAUACUUUGCCUAGAAAUAUGAAAAGAACAGCGUGGUAGGUCGAAAACCCGAAAGGGCGGCCUAGGCAAAAAUGCGCUUCCCGGUGGAUCGAAAACCCGAAAGGGCGGUCCAGGCAAAAAUAAGGGACAAAAAAAAACAAAUAUGAAAAGCUCGCUGAGAUUGUAAACAACUCAGGCAAGAAUGAGCGUCUCGAUGAGCCGAAAACCCGGAAGGGCGGUUCAUGCAAAAAUGAGAUUGAAACAAAAGGCAAGUAACUAUAUCUGGCCAACCACCGUCCCCUUGGGGCGUCUGCAGCUACUAAUGACCAUCUUCAUCAAAAGCUCCUAUGCUUGCGAAUUCAAAGUUUCUAGGAAAUGUAAUGAUUGUUGUGUUCAAUGUACCACCAACCAAUAAAAAUUACCAUUUUCCAAGCUUUGUAAAUCCGUGGAGUCACGCCUUCGGCUGACCACCACUCUUAUACAUCAAUUUGAGCAUGUGCUUUUGUUUGAAACUCCGCUUUCUUUUUACUUUCAAAGUUAUGUACAAAAACAUUUUCCUUCUAUUUUUAAUAAUGACAAAUGCUCGAAACAAACAUCUUGAAAAUUGAAAAAGUUUUUUGAAAAGCAAACCUGAGCAACAGGGUACAUUCAAACAAAACAUGCAUGAGCAAGUGUGUGUUGGUGUCUAUUUCAACAUAUGUUACAAGCAGGUUCUCCUCCAGGAUAGUCUGUGGUCAAUGGCAAGAAUGAAAAAACAGAAUGAAAAUGCAUGAAAACGAAUAGGCUCGCUAAGUUGAAAACCCGGAAGGGCGGCUUAGGCAAAAAUGAGCACCCCGCUGGAUUGACAACCCGAAAGGGCAGUUCAGGCAAAAAUGGGGCAUUGAAAAGAAUUUAUUUCCCCGGUGGAUCGAAAACCCGAAAGGGUGAUCCAGGAAAAAAUGGGAUGCAAAAAUGAAUGAAUGAAAAUUAGAAAAAAAAAUAAACAUGCAAAAAGCAUUGACCACAGAUGCGACAUCCACGAUACAUCCGGCAUUAUUCCCAGUAGAGUCUUCCGAGAUUCUAUCCCCAGCAAGUUGCAUAACUACCUGCCCUCAGCCAUGGUUCCGAUACGUCUCUCAACGACGUCAUCUCCAAAGAGGAUUUCCAGGAAUGUGUAAUAUAGCACGAGCCAUUACGUGCCCAAUACUCCAGUGUCUUGUCUGUCUCUGCGGAACUGUGUCUACAAAUCGCCAACAGUCGUGCAUUACAAGCAUUCAUACAUGCAUAAUCAUGCAUAUUACGUGCCCAUGCAUUUAAUGAAACUGUUAUAUCAUUCAUGCAUAUUGCAUUUCCAAUGUCAAUACAAGUCUCAAUUCAAUACUCAUGUCGGGUUCUCUGUCAAAACCUUGUGUGCCAAUAAUAUAGGUCAAUUUCUACCUUUCAAAUCAAAUCGACGUCAAGUCAAUCUCAAUCUAUACUUUUUCAAAAAAAACAAUCCCCAGUGAAUCUGUUUCUGUUUGGUCAAGUGGCUAGCUCAAUCCAAGAGCAGCUUGAACCUACCUAUUUGUCUAUGUUUCCGGUCGAGUUACCAGUUCGCCUCCAAGAACGACUUGUACCCGUUUACUUUUCAAUGCUAUCGGUCGAGUUACCAGUUCAAAUCCAAGAACAGCUCGGGCCUGUCUAUGUGUCUAUGAUUUUGGUCAAGUGGCUAGUUCAAGUCCAAGAACAGCUUGUACCCGUCUAUCUGUUUCUGUUCGGUCAAGUGGCUAGCUCAAUCCAAGAGCAGCUUGCACCUGUCUAUUGGUCUUUAUCUCCGGUGGAGUAACCAGUUCGCAUCCAAGAACAAGCUCGCACCUGUCUAUUUGCCUUGCUUUCAGUCGAGUGACUAGUUCGAAUCAAGAAUAACUCGUACCUGUCCAUCUUUUCCAUGUCCCCGGUCGAGUGACCAGUUCGAAUCCAAGAACAACUCGUACCUGUUUGUCUGCUUUUAUUCCCGGUCAAGUGCCCAGCUCAAUCCAAGAGCAGCUUGUACCCGUCAAUUUGUUAUCUGUUAUCUUGUCAAUGUCUACCAAUCCCGCAAUGGAUACGGCAUCUUUUGUUAAUUCCAGCUUUCGUUUGUCUCGCACUCAUAAUCCCAAUGUUGCAUGGCAUUCAUGAUAUUUGAAAAUGUACAAACGUAUUUUUACGUCCAAACACAGUGCAAAUGUUAAUAUUUAAGUAUCUUCGUCCCGUCAAGCAAAAGACUCCGUCUCUUGACCCUCCGGACAAAGAAACUUAAAUAGGGGCAGCUGUUAUACCCUGAUUUUGGACCUAAAAAUACUCAUUCAAAUUUCCUUUUUAACACUGAUAUUUGUCAAUUCUCUGUUAUUUUACUCUGAAUCUUUACUCUCUUUUUAAACGUAUUUGACUGCCUCUGUCUUUUCUGACAUUACAAGUCUUUUAAGAACUCUCUGAAACGUCGCAUUACCUUUCUUGCAUUUUAUUUCAAAAAUCAUACAAAAGGGUAUUUUGGUCAUUUCCUGCAGUGGAACCCAUUUUAGUCCCUGUGUUUGCCUCUGAGUCUUUUCAACCUGUCUGUACGAAUCAUUGUUGAGUCUUUGUUUAAAAAUUAUUUCAAAAAUUGCAUCUGAGUCAGCUUGGGUCAGUUUAGUCCCCAGGGGCAUUUUGGUCUUUUCCUGUCAAAAUUUCGGCAGAGAGGUAUUUUAAAAUACCUCAUUUUUGUAGCUGGUUCAUUUUAGUUCCUUUUGUUGAUUUUAUUUUUGGUUUCACUUUACGUUUUGUCCAAUUUACCAAUUUUAGUCCAAUUUUAUUUUUAUUGCAUUUUUAGUCCCUGAAACAGUUUCUAAAAUUGCAUUUUAGUCCAAUACUUUUUAAAAUUGCAUUUUUAAGUCCUUUUUCAUAAUUGCAGAUUAGUCCUUUUAUUUUUUUUUCCUUUUUUGCAGCAAGGUCCUUAAGUCCAAGUCCAGGUGUCAUCACCCCAUUGGGUCUCAAGUACACAUGUCAGCUAUAAAUACAACACAGUGUCAGAAUUUCCAAAAAAACCCACACAAUACACGCCACAUCACAAACAGAGGUCACAAUCUCUCUCCUUUCAGUUACAGAUCAAAAACAGAAAUCAUCAAGAACACAGAAAAAAAAUCCCAAACCCUAACUCACAGAUUCAUCACAAAUUUACCAGAAUUCGACAAAAAUCUCUCGGAUUUCUCUACGGUUCUCAGCGAUUCGUCCUUGAAUCGUCAUCAUCGAACCGUUCCUUUCGCAAUUCCAGUGCGAAUCCAUCGCUGUUAGCAACAGACUCAAGCACGAUCACGAAAGGCUCGCACCACAGAAGAAGAGGGAAAGCGCGAAAGGCUCGAACCAGAGAAGAAGAAGAAAUCAAAAAAGAAAGAGUUCGAACGCGACGAAGCACAAGGCCGAACCAGAAUCGCGAAAGUCGCGAGUCUAGAUCGUGAAACAAGAGCCUCAGCGACAAAGAGGUAAUCCUCUUCGCUUUCCUCUUCCUUUUCCUUCCGUUUUUUCAACAAAUUUUGUCAAGAUUCAAACUCAGAUCUACUCCGAUUCGAACCUUUUCUGAAAAAUCUAAGCUCGGAUUCGAGAAGUAGACAAAAAAGGAUGUUUAAAAGUGCAAAAAAAAUUUGAAUCGGAGAAGUUUUGAGCUCCGGCGCGGUGGCGCCACCGCCGUCCGCCGCGCCGGAAAGGGGAGCCACGCCGGAGAAGACAACCGGAAUUCUAGAGAGAAGUGAGAGUUCUCUCACUAGAUGAGAGAAGAGAGAGAAGGGGGGAUCCUCUAGAUCGACUGCAGCAUGCAGCUGGGNNNNNNNNNNNNNNNNNNNNNNNNNNNNNNNNNNNNNNNNNNNNNNNNNNNNNNNNNNNNNNNNNNNNNNNNNNNNNNNNNNNNNNNNNNNNNNNNNNNNAUAGUACUCUAUAGGAACCGUUUUCCUAGUUUUAUGUCUACGCUUUAUUUUUAAUGCUAUUUAUUGAAAAAAGAAGUUGUUUAUUUAGGUUAAGAAUGGAGGGAGAAAAUGUUUGAGAUUUUAUUUUAUUGGACUUGGAGAGGUUUUGACCUCUUGCCUACAUACCCUUUUAAGGGAUCAAAAUUCCAUGUAGUUCUCUUUCAAAAAAAUGUUUUUUGGUGUGUUUGAUUGAUUUUAAGUUUUGGAAAAUGGUUUUGAAGAAGAGAAAGAGGCCGUAAAGGCAUGAGAGGAGAAAAUGGUGAAUGAUUGGUUCAAUUAUUAUUAAAAAAGGUCUAAGUUGGAAUUAGAGUUCAUUUGAGUUUGAUUAAGAAAAUAAAGGGAAAUUUCAAUGGAGUUUUGACUCCAAGGUCUAUUUGGAAAAAAAUUUCAAGUGAUGGAAUUUACCUAUUUUUUUGGAAAAUUGAUAUUUUUCUAAGUAUCGCGUUUCCUAAGCAUACAUCUAAAGCGGUAAACAUACAACGUGUGUGCGUGUCGGUGCUUGUGUCGGUGUACAUCAUUAGAGUCCAUUGUCCGUUACAUUGGCCCUAGUUUACAUUCUAUGGUCUUGCAAGAAAUUGAAAAGAGAAAUUGAAACUACCUAAAAUAUUACAUGCCAUUUUAACAUAGAAAUUAAAAGGUAAAAAUGCCUAAACUAUGAGAAAUUGAGAUAAAAAGGUAAGAUGCUCAUGAGAUGGAUGAAACAUGAAAUGAAAUGGUUAGUAAUAUAAGGCAUAAAAUGGUAAGAAAAAGUAAACAAAGAAUUACGAGGCGAAACGGUAAAAAUGACAACAAGAACCAAAACAUGAAAAGAAAUACAAUACUUGCGACACAAGAAACUAACAAAUCACAUCAAAAACAGUAAAGUAAUUACACAAACAGUAGCAUAUUCAACACAAAAUUGCAUAUCAAUCGUCCAUGUCAUAUAUCAAAAUAUUAUGAACAAAAAUGUGGUAAAAAUAACACAAAAUUCCACUAAAAAGGAAAAAAAAAACUAUCAAAAAAAUACACAUAUAUUUAUAUCAAUUUUUGACAUGUAAAAACAUCACAAAAGCAUUAAAAAUACAUCAAGAAACAUAUAGGAAUUUUUUGGAAUUUUUUGCAAGAAAAUUGGACAAGCAGGGGGUUCAGAUAGCAAGACAGCAAGGUGCAAAUAGCAAGAAAUUGACAAGAAACAAAGGAUCUGCGCAGAAGGAGGCCCAAGCCCAAAACCUAAAAGAUCCGGAUGCACAGGAACCACAGGAUUGAUCCAAGAGAUCAAACCCUAGAUCCAACGGCCAGGAAUGAAGGUAAUUGGACCGGUCCGGUUCACUGGCCUAUAAAAGGAGGCGCGCCGGUUUUAUUUCAUUCUUCUAUGUUCUUUCUCUCUCUUCUCCUCCCUCGCCGGUUUCUGGAAAAUAGAAGAUGAACUUCAUCUUCUCCGGUGAACCUUGCUUCUCCGGCGUGGUGGCCGGCCGCCCCAGGGUGGCGGCGCCGCCGCCGGAGUUGAGCAAGUUUGCUCCGAUUUCAAAUUUUUUUACAUAUUUGGAUAUCCUUUUUUGUUUUAAACACGAAUCUGAACUUAUUUUUUGCAUGCAAGGCUUGAAUCAACGUAGAUCUAAAAAACUCCUUUACAGUUUUGAAAGUAUUUUUUAGGUUUUCAAUUUUUCGAAUGAAACUCUUUGAAACUUUAAAGAUCUACAUUGAUUCGUUCUUGUUAUGGUUCUUAAGCGAGAAAGAGGAAGUUUGCGUGUUUACCUGUGGUUUCAAUCGGAUAUUUUGAGCGAAGAUCUUCGGAAACACUUGAACUUGAUUCUGUUUGUUGAUUUUUGGAUUUGAAUCCGAAAAUAAAUCGGUUCUUCUUCUUUGCUGGUUCAAUCUUCUUCGUCUUCUUUCUCUUCUUCUUCUCACUGAUUCCUUCGUGAUCGGUGCUUGAGUUUGCCAAUGGCGAAUUCACACCUUGAAUUGCGAAGGAAACCGAUUCGAUGAUGAAGAUUCAGUGAUGAAUCUCUGAGAAUUUCGAAAGAUUCACUGAAUUUGGUAUUGAAUUGUGGUUCUGGAAAUUUAGGGUUUGAGUUUUGUUCUUCACGUUCUUGGUGAUUUUCUGAGUUUUUGAUCUAACUGAAUGGAGAGAGAGAAUGGUGAUUCUGUUUGUUGAGGUGGCGUGUGAUGUGUGGAUCUGUGUGGCACUGUGCACGUUUUAUAGGCUGCCAUGUGUGAUUCUGGAUCAAUGAGAUGAUGACACCUGUUUUGGAACUUAGGGACCUUUCUGCAAAAUAAGAAAAUUGAAGGAUUGGACUGCAAUUAAGAAAAAGGACCUAAAAGUGCAAUUUUAAAAAGUAUUGGACUAAAAUGCAAUUUUAGAAACUGUUUCAGGGACUAAAAUGCAAUAAAAAAUAAAAUUGGACUAAAAUUGGUAAAUUGGACAAAACGUAAAGUGAAACCACAAAUAAAAUCAACAAAAAGGACUAAAAUGAACCAAUUACAAAAAUGAGGUAUUUUAAAAUACCUCUCUGCCGAAAUUUUGACAGGAAAAGACCAAAAUGCCCCUAGGGACUAAAUUGACUCAGACUGACUCAGAUGCAAUUUUUUGAAAUGGUUUUAAACAGAGAUUCAACAGUGAUUUGUACAGACAAGUUAAAAAGACUCAGAGACAGACACAGGGACUAAAAUGGGCUCCAAUGCAGGAAAUGACCAAAAUACCCUUUUGUAUGAUUUUUUUGUCAAAUGCUUUGAAAUAAAAUGCAAGAAAAGUAAUGCAAUGAUUCAGAGAGUUUUCAAAUGACGUGUAAUGCAAGAAAGACACUUUGGAUAGUUUUAUGCAAGAAAAUCAUGAUUGAACAUACUUUGAAACAGAGACAGUAAAAUAGGCAGAUGAAAAGAGAGUAAAGAUUCAAAGUAAAACAACAGUAAAUUGACAAAUAUCAGUGUUAGAAAAGAAAUUUGAACGAGUAUUUUUAGGUCCAAAAUCAGGGUAUAACACAUAUUAAAUAAAUAUCAAAUUAAUUUAAUUUACACCAUAUCUUCACUCUCAACAAUUAUUAUGUGUAAUCUCUUCUUUUCACAUAUCACAACAACACAUCAUUUUCCCACUUAAAACCACCAGGCACAAACAUCAUCAUAUACAUGCAUAUGGACUCUCCUAACGACCUAUAUGAAUGUCAUACCACACCUACUCGUCAUUUUGCCAGAGUUAUGUUACUGGACUUUCACUCCAUAAUUUUCCAAUGGUAUAUUAUUGUACUUUCACCUACAUAAUUUGUCAGAGGUAUGUUAUUGGACGUUCACUACAUAAUUUUUCAGAGGUAUAUUGUUGGACUUUUUCUCCCAAUUUAAUUCAAGACUUCAUUCUCUAGACUUUAAAUGGCCACAAGGACAUAAAUUCAGCAAGUAUUGUACAUAUACACUUAACCACAUAGCACAUAUUAAUGCAAGACUCUCUCUAAAAUGCACGACUCUAUUGCAAGAACACAAAACAUUACCACUCCCUUCACCAUCAUCAUAUAUAAACAUCAUUUCUCUCUCCAUCAUAAUAGUAUAGUUAUUUUCAUUAUCAUUGUCUCUAUAAUAUAGACAUUAUCAUCCUCAUCAUCAUAUUAAUUUAACCAUCAUUACUCUCCUCAUCGUUAUAAUAUAAACAUUGUUUCAUAUCGUAUUUAUUUAUUCACAUAUAUACAAUAUCAAUCAUCAUCACUCGUUGUCAAAAUUAUAUGAUUCCUCAUCAUUACUCUCUAUCAACCAUUUAUAUCACCACUUUAUUUCUUCAUUAUUCUAACUCUUACGCGUGACUCAUUUCUACGUCAACAUCCCUCUAUUUUAUUUUAUUAAUCAUAUUAAGGACAUAUUUUAUUCUCUCAUCUAUUCUAGGCUCAUGUGUAUUAAUUUGAUCCUAACCCAAGUUCUAAAAAUCAUUUGAAUAUCAAACCAAAGCCAUUAGAAUAAUAACAUAUUUAUCUAAAACUUUCAUGUUUACACUAGAGUUCAAUUCAAAACAGAAAUAUGCAAGAAGGGAGCAAGAGUGCGAAACAGGGGAAGCUUACACUGGGCUACUCGCCUCGUGAGUAAGGGUUACUUGCCGUGGCGAGCAAUUCCAGUAGCUACUCGCCACCGGCUCGCCUCCCACUCGCCUCGCGAGUCAUGAUAGGUUUCAGAAAAUUCUGUUUUCGUGAAAAAUCCAUUUUCACCCCAAAAUCCCAAUUUUUGACUUCCCAAUACCCAAAUUGAUCCCAAAGGUUUACCCAAAUGUUUUUAGACAUGAAAAGAUACUCAAAUCCAUAUACAAACUUGAAUCGAACAUAAUUUUAAACAAAAUCACCAUUUGACCCAUUUUCUCAAAACAACAACAUUUCAUUUUUUCAUCAAUCCACAAUUAAGUAUACCCAAGUUAUAAUUCACUCACAACAACAUGUUUGUCAACAACAACAUCCAUUGAAACUUGUUUCUCACCUCAAUCCAACACAACUUAUCACAAAUCAUUAAUUAGGCAAAAUUUCACAACUUGACAUUUAUACAUACAUUGAACCAUGUAAUUUCAUCCACAAACAUACCAUAAUUAUCAAUUCAAGUAUAAGAAACAGCAACAUAACAAGAGCACGAAUUUGACAUGAAUUGUUCAUCAACCCAUUUUCAUACAACAUGAAAAGAUGUAAAAUUUGAAAUUGAUUAUGAUAAUAACUAACCCCCUUACCUUAGAAGAAGAUUAACCCAAACUCUUGCUUCAAUUUAGCUCCUAAGCUUACCCAAUUGGAUUCUUCAAGUUCUUCUCUCCAAAACCCUUUUGCUCUUCUCUUCACCUCUUUCUCUCUCUACCUCUCUCUAGAAAUGUUUGUGAAAAUGAAUGAAUUGGUUCUUCUAACACAACCCUAGUGUUAUCUCCACUAAUGGGNNNNNNNNNNNNNNNNNNNNNNNNNNNNNNNNNNNNNNNNNNNNNNNNNNNNNNNNNNNNNNNNNNNNNNNNNNNNNNNNNNNNNNNNNNNNNNNNNNNNUUUGAGUAUAAAUGAGCUCGGUCCUCCACUAAUGGGCUUACUUAGUUUCUAGUGAGCUUAACCCAUUUCUAUUCAAACUAAAAAUAUUACUACACUCCAAACGAUAUUUUAAUUAAUAACGGUAAAAUGUCACUAACGGUAAAAUCUAAUCACUACCCUAGUAACUUAGUAAAAUAAGGGUUCUCGCUAAUUAUUAAAAUAAUUCUCACCAAAAUUACCAUUUUACCCUUACCCGCCAAAUGACUAAAAUACCCUUCUAAUACGGUAAUCCACGUAAAUGCACCCGACGACAAUUAAAUACACACAAGUACAAUUAAUCACACACAAACACAAUUAAAAGUAAUUAAAAUAAAUCUAGCUAAAAAAUCGGGCUGUUACAUUCGCUAUUAGCGAAACUCCCUCUAACUAUUUCGCUAUUAGCUCAAUUUUUGCCAUUAGCGAAAUUGCCCAGUGACAGCAUUCCUUGUUUUAUGUUCUUGCGUCUUUUUCACAUGUUUCUGCUUUGAACUGGGUUUUGGUGUAAACAUGAAAGUUGUAGAUAAUUUUGUUAGCUUUCCAAUGGCUUUGGUUUGACGUGAAAAUGAUUUUUGGUUUUUGAGUUAUGAUGAAAAUACUCCAAGGAGGUCUUACUGAAAUCUUAUGAAAAUUCAGCCAUUUUCUGACUUUAGCUUCAUACACUAGGGGACCAAUCUGAACAUCCUAAAAUGUUUCUUUCAAUUUGUAUAACCUUAGAAAAGUAGUAAAUCUUACUGGAACUUCUUGGUGGCCAUGAUUGAUUGAAUUUGAUGAAUUUGGAUAUGAAUAUAUGUAUGAUACCAUGUGAAAUGCAUUGUCUAUUGGUGAUUGGUGGUCGUUGGAUUCGUUGAGUCAUAAUGGCUAGGUUGAGUGGUAUGUAGAUAUACCCAAGUUGAGUCCAUGGCAUAACAUAAAAGCGGGAGGACUUAUGUCCUGGAACGCCUCGUCGUUCAAAGCGGGAGAACUUAUGUUCUGGAACGUCUUAUCGUUCAAAUUGGUGAGGACUUCGGUCCUGUGAAUGCUUUAACCAUUCAAAAUUCGGUGAGGACUUAUGUCCUGUAAAAUGGUACCACAUGCAUGUGUCUAGUUGCAUUUGUCGAGGAGUCUUAGUGGUGUUGUCAUGUCUUUGCAUGAGUCAUUGUCGGUGAUUGAAUGAUACUUUCUACGUAAUUGGUUGAAGUUGAUUAUGAUGAAUUUGACGUGAACACGAAAUAUAUUUAAAUAUUGAAAUGUUGAUUAUAAUAGGGUGUUAGAUUCAAUUGAUGAAUUUUAUGUCUAUUAUUGUUGAUUGUGAAUCUCACCCAUUCUGUUUGAAUGUUGCCUCGACCGUGGGUAACGUGCAGGUGAUUCCAAGUAGUAGGUGUGGUGGCUCAACUGUCUAGGGCUCUGAUACGUACGGGAUGGGAAUUAGUUAUAUUUAUUUUCAUUCCUUAUGUAUCAAUUUUGGAAUUAUGUUGUGGAGCCUUUUUAUUGUUAUUUGAACAAUGUUGAGGCCUUUCGUGCCAUAAAUUGUUGUUGGAUGUUUACGAUGUUAAUGAUUUGAAAACUAUUCCGCUGCUAUGUUUUGAUAUUUUAUCAAGUUGUUUUAAUUAAAUAGUAUUUUAUUCUAUUUAAGAAACUUUGAAAAGUAGUGUGACAUGCCGUUCGUGUUUAACUCUGAUUAUUUAUUAUUAUUAUUAUUAAGUUUGGGAUAACGGGGUGUUACAAUUGGUAUCAGAGCAGGUCGGUCCGUCCGGCCAAGUAGUAGAGUCGUAUCGAGCCACGUAGUGUCGUGUGACAGUUAAUACUGUCUUGUUGUUGUCCUGAUUGUUGUUUUUUGUGUAGAGAACUGGUUGGAGUAUAACCAUGUUCAUGUUAAUUGUUUUAGUAAGUCGGUGUAUUUUUCUCUCUUGAAGAAGAGCAUGCAGAGCAUCUGAAAAUUGUGUUGCAAGUGUUGAAAGAAAAGAGGUUGUAUGCCAAGUUGUCCAAAUGCGAGUUCUGGUUAAGUGAAGUAAGUUUUCUGGGCCAUAUUAUUCCUGGUAGUGGUAUUGCAGUUGAUCCAUCGAAAGUUGAUGCAGUAUCACAAUGGGAGACUCCGAAGUCAGUAACUGAAAUCAGAAGCUUUUUGGGUUUGGCUGGUUAUUACCGCAGGUUUAUUGAAGGAUUUUCGAAGUUGGCACUUCCGUUGACUCAGUUGACCUGCAAGGGUAAAUCUUUUGUGUGGGAUGCUCAGUGUGAGAGUAGUUUCAAUGAACUGAAGCGAAGAUUGACGACUGCUCCUAUUUUGAUUUUACCGAAGCCGAAAGAACCUUUUGUUGUUUAUUGUGAUGCGUCCAAGUUGGGCUUAGGUGGUGUUCUGAUGCAAGAUGGCAAAGUGGUAGCUUAUGCUUCUAGGCAGUUGAGGAUUCAUGAAAAGAAUUAUCCUACACAUGAUUUGGAGUUGGCUGCGGUGGUGUUUGUUUUGAAAAUCUAGAGGCAUUAUUUGUACGGUUCCAGAUUUGAGGUGUUUAGUGAUCACAAAAGUCUAAAAUAUUUAUUUGAUCAGAAGGAAUUGAACAUGAGGCAGAGAAGAUGGUUAGAGCUGUUGAAGGAUUAUGAUUUUGACUUGAAUUACCAUCCGGGUAAAGCCAAUGUGGUUGCAGAUGCUUUGAGCAGGAAAACGUUACACAUGUCUGCUAUGAUGGUAAAGGAAUUCGAAUUACUGGAACAGUUUAGAGACUUGAGCCUUGGUUGUGAGUUGGCACCUCAGAGUGUUCAGUUGGGGAUGCUGAAGAUUAAUAGUGAUUUCUUGAAUAGUAUCCGAGAAGCUUAGCAAGUCGAUGUUAAGUUUGUUGAUUUGAUGGUUGCUGGUAAUGACACUGAGGAUAGCGAUUUCAAGGUUGAUGUUCAGGGUGUUCUGAGGUUCAGAGGAAGAAUUUGUAUUCCUGACAAUGAUGAGUUGAAAAAGUUGAUUUUAGAAGAAAGUCACAAGAGUAGCUUGAGUAUUCAUCCGGGAGCUACGAAAAUGUACCAUGAUUUGAAGAAACUAUUUUGGUGGUCCGGUUUGAAACGUGACGUUGCUCAGUUUGUGUAUGCAUGCUUGACUUGCCAGAAGUCUAAGGUUGAGCAUCAGAAGCCCGCAGGGUUGUUGACACCGUUGGAUGUACCGGAGUGGAAAUGGGACAUUAUUUCUAUGGAUUUCGUGACGAGUUUAGCAAACACUCCGAGAGGGCAUGAUGCCAUUUGGGUUGUUGUCGAUCGGUUGACGAAGUCGGCACAUUUCAUUCCAAUAAAUAUUAGUUAUCCGGUAGCAGAGUUGGCAGAGAUUUACAUUCAUAAUAUGGUGAAGCUUCAUGGUGUUCCGUCGAGUAUUGUGUCGGAUAGAGAUUCGAGGUUCACUUCAAGAUUCUGGAAGAGUUUGCAAGAUGCUUUGGGAUCGAAGUUGAGGUUGAGUUCGACUUAGCAUCCUCAGACAGAUGGUCAGUCGGAGAGGACGAUCCAAUCAUUAGAGGAUUUGUUGAGGGUGUGUGUGCUUGAGCAAGGUGGAGCUUGGGAUAGUCACCUACCGUUGAUAGNNNNNNNNNNNNNNNNNNNNNNNNNNNNNNNNNNNNNNNNNNNNNNNNNNNNNNNNNNNNNNNNNNNNNNNNNNNNNNNNNNNNNNNNNNNNNNNNNNNNUAUUUAACCCAAAAAUAAACAAAUAGAAGGUUUUAACAUACAAACAAAUAGGGUUUUUAAGGGGGUCUCUAAAGGGAACUCAAACUGAAAGGCAAUAACACUUUAGACCAUAGACUUCACCAUUCCAAAAAUCAAGAUAGAUUGGAUGCAAAUAGUUCUUGUGCUACUACGAACAAAUGAAAUUAAUCUUUGAAGACAAAGUCCAUUACCCACUCAAUUAUGUUGGAUGGAAAAAGAAACAUCUACGAUGCAUUUAACAAACCUCAUUGAGGGUUUCGAUCAUCUGCACUGGAGCACCAAAACAAGUUGCACUUGUUGCAUUCCCUCCUUGAAACAUAUCAGGGACAAGUACUCCAAAUACUCCACAACCUCAUAACCCAUGCUUGUUUAUCUCUCACGGUAUUCGGAAAAGUAAACCUUAGAAAUGGUCACAUGUCAUCAACUUCUGCUUAAUGAUACCCAAAUAUUUACCUUCAUCAGGGUGUGCUCUACGUACAUAAAAUUGUGAUAAUAUGAACUUGUUAUUUUUACUUUCUUUUUUUAUGGGAGCCCCUAAUAUGGACCCUUUAUUUUAAGGUCCAUCUAUGAACCUUGCAAAUUGAGUGGCAAUAGUGGGUAGACACACCCCUUCUAGUUUAUAUGGGAACAUCAAUUUUUUUUCCUUUUAUUUCUUCUUCAACUAGCAAUGUACAUUCUCCUUCCACGUGAAUCAUUCGCACAACAAAUCCCUUACUCACUUUUUCUUCCCAAAUUCAAUUCCAUCAUUCACGCAAUGAUUUAAUUAAAUUCGGUGUUAACAAACUUCAUCAUCCAAAAGUAAGCAACAUCUAAAGAAAGAAAUAGCACAUUCUGCAACAGAGCUUUCGUUGCAACAAUAGCAUAUGGAACUAAACAAGAAAAUGACAGGCUUCAAUUUUAUUUUCGACAAACAGAAUUGUAAAUGCCAACACUAUUAUUGCAACCAUUAACUCUUGCCAACAAAACAACCACCAUAAACAUCUUCACCAUAUAGACUUCAUCCAAACCUGGAAUCCAGUUUAAUUGGAAUAAAAUUUUAUAGUAGUGUUUUCUCAUAUUAAAGGACUCGACCUUGGAAGUUCUGCAAAGAGAACAUCAUGAAUGGUGGUUCUGAAAUCGGUGGGGGGAAAGGUGACCAGAUAUAAGGGCAGCAAAUAUAAGGAUUUUAGAAUUUUGGAGAUUGACGUUCAACAAAGAUUUAUGAAUUGCUGAAAUUCGGAUGACUAUUUUUCUUCUUUUAUGGAAACGACAUACCCAAGAAUCAAAAUUCACAUAUUUACAUGGAAUGAAGUUGUACGGUAAGAGUUGAAGAAGAAAUGGAUGACCAAAAUUAGGAAAGUAAUUUGUUCCGGUGUAAACUUGAAGUGUAUUACCCAUUGUUCAAAGGAGGGUGUACAGUGCAUUACCCAUUAUUGCCGGUCAAUUAACAAGGACCAUGAGUGGACCUUAAAAUAAAGGGUCCAUAUUAGGGGCUUCCUUUUUUUAUAAUGAAAAUUGUAAGUGUAAUAGAAUACAAUUUCUUCAUAAGUGACAACAGUCAUUUGCAAUUUAUAUGACUUUGAAGAGAUUUUUUUUUAAUGAAUCAAAAUUAUUUGUGCGCAAUCAGCAAAUCUAUAUAUAGACUUUGGUUUUUGAAUCAUAUGGGUCCAAUUCAAAUUUUAAGACUAACCUUUUUUUUUCUUAUUGCUUUUUUCACCCUAUACUACUCUCAUGUGCUCUAUUUAUUUCUUUAUUUUUUUAAAUUAUCCUCAAUUUGGAUUUUAGAAUCCAAACUAGUUUAGGAUUCUAAAAAUCCGAAACGAGUCCAAAACUUGAUGGCAACCAUCUUUGAUUUUCAUCAUUUAACAGGAGUAUGGUGAAACCAUGUCCGGGAUGUGUAAUCCGAAUUUUAUUUACGUGUUUCAGAUUGUAUAUUUCAAAAUAUCAACUUAAAAAAAAAAACGGACAAACUUAUAGAUUGUAUAAUCUAAAACGCUUAACUAUAUAAGGUUCAUCCAUAGUUCAUCACCUUUAUCACCUACCACUCCCUACACCUCUAAAAACAUACAAUUUUGAGCGAAAACAUGAGUUGGAGUAGUAAUCUGGUCACCAAGGGGCUUUUAAAACAUCAUUUUCGUAUGAAUGCACAUGUAAUGUUUAUAUAAAUUCACCCUCAUUCGAUUUCUAGGCGCUCUUAUUUUUCAAAUGAUAAGGAAAAAAAUUGGACAUAUACAACUUGUUAAAUUUUGUUUUAAUAUUUGAAUCUAUAUAAUAUAAAUUUAGGACCUAUUUCAUAGCUUUUUAUGGAAAUGUUUUUCUCAACCUAUUCAUAUGACAUGUGGCACUCUCAACCUAUUCAUUUUCAUGAGUUUUUACAAAUACUCUCACCACAUUCAUCCUCACAAAUACUCUCACCACAUUCAACCUCACAAAUCUGUAUUUAAUGCUUAUGAAUAAAAGGAAGUUUUUCAAAUUCAUAUUCAAUUCUAAUUCAAAUAUUUCAUAUCAAAUUAAAAAUCAAACAUUUUGAAUUCAAAUAAUACGGAUUUAAAUCAAAUAAUUUAAAUUUAAAUAUUUAAUUUCAGGUAUUAUAAUAAAACAAAUAAUAAAAUUUAAAUAUUUUAAUGUCAAAGAGAUCAAAUCAUUGAUAUAUGUCAAAUAAUAAAAAUACGAUUUGAUUAAAAGUAUUGAUAUUGAAAGAAUUUAAUGAAAUGUAAAAUUGUUUCAUUUUUAUAUUCACAAUAAUAAUGUGAGCUAUUAUAAUAUUUUAAUUUUAAUGAUUGCAAAACAAAUAUGGAAAAGUUAUAUUUUAAUAUAAAUUUAAUUAAAAAAAAUUAGUGCAUUUAAUCUUUUAAAAGUUGCAAAAGUUACACUUUUAAUAUAAAUUAAUAUUUGUUUUUAUUAAUAAUGUUAGAAAAAAAAACACUUAUUAUUCAAAAAUACCGUAUAAUAGUGUUUAUUCAAAACAAAACAAAAAUAAUGUUAUACGGGUUAUUUUUUCGGCCAAUCGAUGAUUUUUUUUGUGAACCUAUAAAUUUAAUAAUAAUUUUUCUAAAACAAAAUAUUAUUGCAACAUUGACCUAUUGAUACCCUACCAAAUUGUAUUUUUUUUUUGCCAAUCCGUGAAUUUUUUAUUUUAUUAUGUAGUAAAAUCUAUAUUUUAUAAAUUUAAUAAUAGUUUAUCUAAUACAAAAUUUUAUUGUAACAUUGACCUAUUGAUACCCUAUCAAAUUGUAUAUUUUUCUCAUAGAUGUGCUGCUUUUUUAUUUGACCCAAAUAAAUAGGUUGAUUUUUUAGUUUAUCAUAGAUGUGUUCCUCUUUUUGUUUGACCGAAAAUAAAUAGGUUUUGGAAUUUAUUGUUAGUUAUAAAUCAAAUUGAAACUUUCUCGAAUAAACAUUGCAAGAGAUAUUAUUUGCUCUUGAUUUGUAGUCUUUUUUAUUUGACCCAAAUAAAUACGGGUUAUUGGAAUUUAUUGGUAUUAAAAUCAUAUUAAAAUUUUCUAAACUAAACAACCUAUUGAGUAACUUUCUUUGCUCCGAAACAAAAAAAAAAAAAACCUUAUGAUCUAUUGAUUUUCUAUUUUCGGCUACAAACAGUAGUUAAUGAAAUCAAGCGAGUGAUUAUUGUUAUUACAUGAUGAUUUUUCCUAUAAAUAUUGUUUAUGAUACUCACAACUUUUACAUCACAUGGAAAAUGCAACACAAAUUUUCUGAAAGUCUCUAUAAACUCAAAUUUUUUGUUCAAUUGUUCUUUAUUUUCUUAUUUUCUUAUUUUCUUAUUAUUUUAUAUGACUCCUAUUUGAAUAAUAAUUUCAAUUUUCAUUGUUUUUGUUUUUAAACUUUGGUUUAUAUGUGAUUGAAAAAUGUUAAUCUCUUAUUCUCAUUAACAUAUAUUGCCGUUUUCAUUUUUAAUUUUGAUUACAUAAAGCUUUUAUUUUUAUAUCUUUUAUUGUUUUUUAGUUUAGACAGGGAGACAAAGUGAUUAGAAAUUGUGACGCACAAAAAGUCGUUUAUGAGGAAGAAGAGUCAUAUGAUGGAGCAUUGCAAAAGACAUUGAUAAUGAGGCAUUUGAAUUUAGUGUAUUAAGAAAUAGUGCACUAUUUCUUUUAAUUUUUUUUUCUAAAUACAAGAAUGACAAAGAAACUGAAGAUUGUAUAUAUUAUAUUGAAAAUUUUAGUGUUGCGUGUCGUGAAUGCCCCUUUUUCUUCAUGAUUUGUAAUUAUUAAUUUAUUGUAUAUCACAUGUACAUGAAUAAUACAAGAAUAUUAAUACAUGUGCAUGAAUUUAGAUUAUUUUUUCACGAGUUUUUAUCGACACCCUCGGUAACACUUUUCACAUAAGAAAUUCUAAGGUGAACUCUUACAUAAUAAUUAGAGUAAAUUACACUCCCUCCCCUCAAAGAUGCUUGAAUUACACUCCCCUCCCCUCUUAAGUUAAAAUAUACACUUUACUCCCUCAAUAUAUUUUUUAUGUUAAAAUUUAUACUCCCCUCUCUUAUAAGAUGCUUGAAUUACAACCCUCCUUAAUAAUUAAAUAUGCACUACACUUUAAUCUAUUUGAACAUAAAUAAAUAUUCUUAUAAUAUAUAUAUUAAUUUUGAAUCACCAUUUAAGAAAAAUUAAUUCAUUUCUUUAUAGUUUAAAUGUCAUGAUAAUUAAAUUUAAAUAUAUUGCUAUUGAUUUUAUAAAUUAUAGUAUAAAAUUAACUUUUAAAUAAUCAUUUUUUAAUGAUUUUAGUAAUUUUUCACAUAUUUUAAUUUUGUUUUGGGUUGUUUCAUGUUUUAUAAUAGAGUUUAAAACUACAUGUUAAUGAAAUUGUGAAUAAAAAAUAGCAAAAAAUAUGUAUUCAAUUUUUAUUAUAUUAAAAUAGACCCGCAAUAAUAUUUUUUUUAAGUGUGUUAAAUUAUUAUUUUUUGCUAGAUUAAUAGAAAUAAUAAAAAAGAAUAUUGAGGGAGUAAAGUGUAGAUUUUAACAUAAGAGGGGAGUGGGAUGUAAUUCAAGCUUCUCUUAGGGAAGGGGGAUGAAUUUUUUUCUAAUAUGUUUUGAAUAAGAGGGGGUGGGAGUGUAUAUUCUAACUUAAGAGGGGAGGGGGGUGUAAUUCAAGCAUCUUUGAGGGGAGGGGAGUGUAAUUUACUCUAAUAAUUAAUAGUUAUAUACAGCCAAUAUUUCUUUAAAAAAAUUUUAUAUACAACCAAUCAAAUAAAUACAAGUAACAAAGUAAUAAUAAAAAUAUAAUUAUUUAAUAAAAUAUAUUAAUGCGAUAUUUCCCUCUGUAACCAAAAAAAAUAUUAACGUGAUACAAACUUCCUAAACAAGUCAUCAAAUUGUAAUAUUUUGAAUAAACAUUAAUUUUUAUGAGAAUAUUAUCCUUAAUGAAUAAUGAUGUCCUCAAAUAAGUCAUUUUAUUAUAAGAUUUCAAAUAAUAAUUAGCUUUAAUGAGAAGAUUAUCCUUAAUGACAAAUUUUAAUAAUAAUUGUUAUGUAGAAUGUAUUUAAUUUUUUAUGAAUAAAUUGAUUAGUUUAUUUACUAACUUUUUUAUAAAAAAAAAUGAAAUAUUUAUGAAUAAAAAUACUUUGAUAUUUUUUAAAAAAUUUAAACCUAAAGACAUUUUUAAAAUAAUUAUAUUAAUCUUUUUUGGAAAAGCAGUUAAUUUCAUUUUAUCAAGAGUUGAUUUAAUUUGGUGAUAUGUCUUUAAUAUCUAAGAUAUGUCUUUUUACCACUAGACUAAACUUUUACAAAUUUAUUACAUUAAUCUAUUAUUUGCUAAUUUUAUUAUUAUUUUUUUGAUACUUCAACCUACUCUUAUGUGUGUGUGUCAAAUUUUAUCAACUUGUGAUAAAAUGAAAUGAAAAGGGUUUCCUAAUUUUUUUAAUAAUACUUAUUAGUUUAAUCUAUUUUUUUAUCAAACCUAUUAAUCUAUUGUUCCUUUAUAUUAUUAACAUUAAAAGUGUUUUCUUUUACUUUAUUUUGGAUAUGUAAAUAUUGAUCCAAAUUAUAGUGCAUUAUAUUUGAUUGGUAUUUUUUUUUCUUCAAAAGAUUCAUCCAAGUCAAAGUUAACCGUGUUUGAUUUUAUAUUUGGAUCAUAUGAUAUUUUGCCUCAAAAACAUUUCGAAUUAGACUUCAAACAAACCUAUAAAUGAUCAUUAUAGUUUUUUAUUUACAGUAAUUUCGAUUUUUAUUUGUUUUUUUGUUAGUUUUUUUUUAUUGAAAUCAUUAAAAAAGUAUUGAUUUCUAUAAUCCUAAUGUGCAUUAAUCAUAAUUAAAAAAGAUAUUUUAUCAAAAGAUAAAGAAUGAAAAUUGAAUAUUUAAAUGUUUGAGUUUUAAUUAGUUUAAAAAAAAAAGUUUAGAGUUUUAUUAAGGAAAUUAAUACAAAAUAAAAGAGAGUACAACGGGUAGUCUAACUCAUAUUAUACCAUGCAAACCAUCUCCUUCUCCUGAAAAAUAAAAUAAAAAUAUACCUGUUUUUGUCCUAAAAAUAACUUCUUUUUUUUUAAGUUAAAAGUGGGAUGAACACUUUCAAUAUGUCAUUGUUUUUUAAUGAACUGAAGAGAGUUUCAUUGAUGAGGAAAUUAAAAUCAAUCAAUAGUAAAUGACCACUAACAUAGGAAAUACAAUCAUUUAAUUCCUUCGUCGUUUGUAAGAAAAAUCAUUCAAUAAAAAAAAAAUUAAAAUUUAAGCAAACAUAAGUUUGUGAUCGUCAUGGGUAUAAAAAAAUUUAAUUAUGGAUGAUGAUAACUAUUUAAAAAGAAAUUAAGCAACAUGCUUCAGCAUCCACGCUUACCAGUGUUCACGGGAUGAGUCGGUUUUCAUUAUAAUCUAUUACCUGAUGCAAUCAAGUUUCAUUAGGUUUGAUCAAUAAAUAAUUACACGUAACUUUAUUUUAAACAAAUCUUAAAAAUAUAUAUAAUUAAAUUACAUUCUAUAUUAUAAAAAUUUCAAGACUUUGACUAGAUUCUACUAAUUAAAAUUUGAACACACUUGAAUUUAAUUGAAACACUUUAAAUCUCUAUGACAUGGACCAGGUAUAUAAUAGUGUGAAACUGGGUCAAUGCGUAGAAGAAACGCGUUGUAUAGCUCAAAUACAAUGUUAAAUGAGCAAGGAUGGAUACAUCGAUGCCUGAAUGCAGUAAAAAAUAAGCAAGGGUCUCCACAUCUUUGUAAACGAGUGUGGGUAAUCAAGUUAGUUAAUGAGAGAGUAUGAUCUGUUUUAGAACAUGGAAUAAAGGUACUCUUAUUUGAACAUAUAUGGAAAUUAGUUUUUUUUUUUUUUAGUUAUCACAUAUAUGGAAAUAGUUGAUGCUAUGACUAAAAUGAAGAUUAAUUUUAUGUGCCAGCAAAAAACUAUGUGGGUAGGUGAAAAGGCGAAAGAAUUAGAUAGUUCAAGAUAUAAGCAUUGAUAAACUGGAAAAGUUAGAUUGAGAAAUGAUGUAUGCAUUAUUGUGGAUAAGGAAUUGAAAAAGGAUAUUGUGGAUGUAAAGAGGAUGUGAGAUUUGAUUGUAUCCCACAAAUUUUUAGUUUAAUAAGACAUCUUUAUUUUUUAUUUUUUUUAAAGGAAAUAAGACAUCUUUAAUGUUAUGAGUGUUUACCCAUCUUAGGUAGGUUUGGAAGAAUAUUCUAAAGUUAAAAUUUGAAAGGUUAAAUUCAAGAUAUACCACAAGGAGAAAAUGUUUUUCUAGGAGGGGAUCUAAAUGGGCAUGUAAGGAGUGUUUGAUAAGUUUUAAAGGCUUGAAUGAGGGUAUAGCCUUGGGGAGAUAAAUGCAAUGGGUAAAUUCAUCCUAGUAUUUUUUUUUUUGUUCUUUUAAUCUUACUUUAGUAAAAUAAAAAGGAAAUUUAUUACAUACAAGAGUGGGAUUUCAUGUUCUCAAAUAGAUUUAUUUCUUAUUAGGAAUUAUGACAGAAAUAUUUGUUUGAAUUUAAAGUUUUACAUGAAGAGAGUUUGACCAUCCAAUAUAUAGUAUUGGUUAUGGAUGUAAGGGUUAAGAUAAGAGCGAAGAUGAGAAGCCAUGAUUGGGAAACAAUGAUCAAGUGGUGACAUUUAAAGGAUCAAAACCAAAGUGUUUUUCUGCAAAAGAUUUUGAAGGAAGGUUGUGUGAAGCUACAUAGAAGUGAAAAUGAUACAUGGAAUAAGAUGACAUAUGAGAUUAGAAAAGUAGCAAAAGAGACACCGGAAGAAUUAAUAGGUUUUGGACCUAGCUAGGAGUAAAAAAUCUUGGUGGAACCAAAGAGUUCAAAUUAAAGUGAGAAUCAAAACAGUACUUCACUAAUAAAAAAUAGGGAUAAGGGUGAUACAUAUGAAGACUAUUACACAUUAAGAAAUUUAGCACAUUCCAACCUUGAUGACAGGGUUGUUUUCGAGGGGUGUGUUUUUUAGGAUAUAGUAAAGGCUGAUUAGAGUAGUUUAAGUAGUUAAAGGUACUUUUUUAAGAUAUAGUAAAAAAAAAACCAAGAGUUACUAACUCUACGAUACCAUUCAACAUUUUCUACAUUUUUUAGGAUGAUAAGUUUAAAUAUAAAGGAUUCUCAUAUAAAGCUAAUAUUUUUUCUUUCUCUUCAACGUGCACACAAAUGCAUGCAAAGGUGUUAAUUUUAAUUUCGUUACUUUACAUUUAAUAUACAGAUCUGCGUAUCGGUGACGAUGACUUUAAGAACCUUUGUUUGAUUGAAAUUGAAAUGCUGCUUCAGGAAAACGGAGAGUCGCUUACUGACUUCAAAUCUAUACCCAGGCCAAACGCAGCAGACAUGCCAACUUUCACAAACAAGCUUAUUGUUGAUGAGCUAAAUUACAACAAAGAUGAACUGUAAAAGACACAUGCUGAUACGUUACUGAUGCUGAUUGAUGAAUAAAGAUAUGUGCAUGAAAAAAUCAUGGAGUCCGUUGGUUCUGACGACGAUGGUUUCUUUUUCUUAUACGGUUACAGUGGUAUUGGAAAACCUUUAUAUGAAAACAUUGUCGGCUGCUGUUAGAUCUAAGGGGUUAUUGAAUGUUGCAUCUAGCGGUAUAAUGACUCUUCUAUUACCAGGAGGAAGAACCGCACACUCGACGCUGACAGUCCCUAUUAAGAUUAUGAGGCAUCAUCGCUUACGAUGGAAAAGGAUAGUCCUAGGGAAGACCUGAUGCGUGCUGCAAAGUUGAUAAUUUGGGAUGAGGCUCCAUUGAUGCACUGAUGGUGUUUUGAGGCAGUUGGCCGAUCAAUGCGUGAUAUCAUGUCCAAGAAUGAUCCCCUAAACGAGUUUAAACCAUUUGGUGGAAUGACAAUAGUUUUAGGUGGUGAUAUCAGGCAGAUAUUGCAUGUUGUCCGAAAAGGAACGAGGCAGGAUAUUGUUGAUGCAUCAAUCAAUUCAUCAAAGAUAUGUGCUUAUUUUAAUGUGUUGAGACUUACUGUUAAUAUGAGAUUGGGUGCAUCUUUGGUACCUGCAGAGCAGAAAGAAAUUUCGGCAAGUGGAUACUCUGAAUUGGAGACGACAACAACGCUUCGGAUGAGAAUGGUUAAAUGAAGGUAGAAAUUCCUGAAGAUUAUUUUUCCAAGAAAGGGGAAUACUCGCACCAACGCUUGAUUCAGUUGAACAUGUUAACGAAUAUAUGAUGUCACUGAUUCCAGGUGAAGAGAAAGAGUAUUUAAACUCUGAUUCUGUUUGUCGCUCGGGUGAAAAUUCUGAUGUCCAAAAUGAGCGGUUCACAACGGAAUUCCUUAAUGGUAUUAAGAGCUUUGGAAUUCCAAAUCACCGGUUGAAACUAAAGGUGGGAUGUCCAGUUGUGCUGAUGAGAAACAUCGAUCAGGCCAAUGGACUGUGUAAUGGUACAAGGCUGACAGUUACACAUCUAGGGAAGAGCACAAUAGAUGCUACCGUAAUUACAGGAAAAAGGGCAGAUACCAAGGUAUUCAUUCCCAGGAUGAAUCUUAUUCCGAGUGAUCCAGGACUACCCUUCAAAUUCAUGCGCAUAUAAUUUCCAUUGACGCUUUGUUUUGCAAUGACAAUAAAUAAAAGUCAGGGUCAAUCUUUAUCUCGAGUGGGAGUUUAUCUUCCUAAGCCCGUGUUCACGCAUGGGCAACUCUAUGUCGCUGUCUCUCGAGUUACUUCUAGUAAAAGUUUUUAUAAAGUAUGAUCAUUGGUUAUGUUUUAGAAUUGUUGUUGCUAUAAUUUAAGAAAACUAAAGUUGCACAUUGAUUGAAAGUUGUUUUGUUUUUUUUUUUUUUUUUAAUUUUCUUUGUAAGGCGUACUGGUCAUUAUAGACAUGCAAUUUCUAUAUAAGCAGAUCUUCCUGCCAUUGACUAUUAAUUCAUGCAUUUUUCAGGUUUAACAAUCCGCGGUAACCUUUUUUUUACAUCGUUGUUACCCCUAAAAUACAAUAUUUACAUUAGACCAUUUGUUUUGUAAAAAUUAAAAACAAAUAACAAUCGGUGUUUCUGUAGCCCAAACUACAUUUAUACACACUCGUAAAAAUUAAACGUUUGCAUUUACCGACUACGUGUAUGCAUGUGACGAUGACUAUUAUAUAAAAAAAAAUACAUAUUUUUUAGUUUUUAUGAUUAAUAAAAUACAUUUUGUCAACAAAUAUUAUUACACAGUACGUCGGCGUAUUUUUGCAAGAAAAUUACAUAUGCUAAGUUUAACAAUGAAUGCAUCUUAUACUAUAAAUAAUUAGUACAAGUAUAAUAAUCCAAAUAUUUUUAUCGUUAUAUGCAAUGUUUAGAUAUUUCAAAAUAUAUACAAAAUUAAGAUGAUAUUUUUUUCAUAUCGAAUUUAAAAUCUAUACAUUUAAUCAAAAAAGUUUUUUUAUUUCCCCGUGCUGGCACGGGUCACUAUACUAGUUUACUCUUAUUUAGUUGUUAUAUGUGAUAUUUGCAUUGAGAAUGAAGAGUAAUUUUGGUAGGAGAAAAAGUCGGUUCAAUGACACGUGGCAAACAAGAAUUAAACGGUUGACAUUGAAAAAUAACUCUUUACUACUGUUCCUCUUCUUCUCAACCAUACUAUCCACUCUUCUUCUCCUCUCACGUUUCCUUAACUCACCAUCUUGUUUCCAUCGAACUUCCUCACAGCCGCCGGAAAGGCCCAUCGCUCCGCCGCGGAUUGCUGCCGAUGUAACCUGUUCUUGAAUUGAUUGCAUGUAAAAAUUAAAAAUUCAAAAUGAUUCAUGCAUGCAUAGAAUCUGCAACGGUGAGCAACAACAUUGCAGAUAAAAUUCUGCACUAUUUCUUGAAUUGAUGUAUCACUAGCACUAGCAGAUCUUCAAUUGAUUACAACAACCGAAUAAUUUAGUUGAUUCGUAAUAUUUGCAGUGUCGGCGGUAACAUGCAACUGGAAUCUGUUUCUCAUGGCGGAGAUAACGCAGCGGAAUUAAAACAUUGUGGUGGCACAUUCCGGUGAAGGUAACAUGCAGUGGGACGGCGGCGAACUGCAUGUCCUUGGAAACGUGCGUGUCUAUAAUUUUAUUUUUGUUAAAAAAACUAAAUAGUGUUUAUUCAAUCUGAGCCAUUGAUUUAUGAUUUACCACAUGGCGUACAUCUAAGCAAAGAAUCGGGAAAGUGGAUGAAACAUUGACUGGAGCAGAUCCGAAUUCCAUCCAUCCAGAGACCCCCCGAAUUCAUCUUUGUUUACUCGACAGACAGAGAAUAAAAAGUUAAAAAGAUUGAACCAAUAAUGAAUGCUGAAAUGCUCCUCCAAUCAAAUCCACUGAACGUGUGGUCAAUUUACCAUUACACCCCUCCUCGUGUUGGACAUUCUUCGUCAAACACCCACAGUUUCGCUCAAUCACAAUCACAAUCACAAAUACAUAUCCACUCUUCAUUCUCAUCCUCAAAACUUUAUCCAAAAUCAAUGAUGACUUCUUCUUCUUCUUCUUCAGUGAUGAGAAAGCUAGAUGUUGUGUCUCCUGUUCCAUCAGACAUAGAUAUUGCUAACUCCGUUCAACCUAUUCACAUCUCUGAGAUUGCUAAUCAUUUAAAUCUUACUCCCAAUCAUUACGACCUUUAUGGCAAAUAUAAGGCCAAGGUAUCAUCAUCAUCAUCUUCUUAUGCUGAUUCAUAUAUCUGUUUUUUUAUUUUUAUUUUUUAUGUUGUGUAUAAUUAUUAUUAUGUGUAGGUUCUGUUAUCCGCUCUUGAUGAACUGCAAGAAUCAAAAGAUGGGUAUUAUGUUGUGGUUGGAGGCAUUACUCCAACUCCUCUUGGUGAAGGCAAAUCUACUACUACUGUUGGUCUCUGUCAAGCAUUAGGUGCUUUUCUUGAUAAAAAGGUUUCCCUCCUUCUUCUCAUUUUAUCACAUUUUCCCACCUUUUUAACUCAUACGGACCUCACUGCGCCUAUUUUCAAAUUUCUCAUCUCAAAUUUUAUGUAUAACAUAACAAUAGGGUCUAUAGUGCACGUGGUUGGUACACGGUGUGUGUGUGUGUGUGUGUUUUGAAAUAUGUAUGCCUGUAAAAUAUGAUAUUUGCCACAUCUACUCAAUGACAAUCUUAAUCGCAAUUAACUACGUAUCAUGUUUGGUACCCUGUACUUUAUCCAAAAGAAAACAAAUGUUUUCACUCUCUUAUGGAAGUAUUUUCCCAUGUUGUUUUUCCCUUACAUCAUCAGAUGAAAUGACUGGAUGUAGGAACUGUUCUUUCAUUACUUAUCUCUUCACUGAUUGUGCGGGUCCAAUGUAUUAAUGAAAAACUACCAUUUUAAUCAUGGUUAAAGUUAUGCUGUAUAUGUAAACUUUAUUGUAAAUCCUUGCCAAAGUUGGUGGUUUUCCGGCCUUACGUUGUGCAUGCCUCUUCUAAUCUAAAUACCAAUUGUUCAAAAAAAAAGUUGUGUUGGAUUAUGCAUAACCCCAUCUUAUCUCUUUUGUUAGGUGGUCACCUGCAUUCGUCAACCAUCACAAGGACCUACUUUUGGAAUCAAAGGAGGUGCAGCUGGUGGUGGUUAUAGCCAAGUGAUUCCCAUGGAUGAAUUCAAUCUUCACCUAACAGGAGAUAUACAUGCAAUAACUGCAGCAAACAAUCUUCUAGCCGCUGCAAUUGAUACCAGAAUUUUCCAUGAGUCAACACAAUCAGAUAAAGCUCUUUUCAACCGGUUAUGCCCUCCAAAUAAGGAAAGGAAAAAGGAGCUUUAGUGAUGUCAUGUUUAGGCGUCUCAAGAAGUUUGGCAUUUCAAAGACCAAUCCAGAUGAUCUUACACCAGAAGAAGUAAAUAAAUUUGCUAGGCUUGAUAUUGACCCUGAUUCUAUUACAUGGAGGAGAGUAAUGGACAUCAAUGACCGGUUCUUAAGGAAAAUUACUGUUGGCCAGGGACCUGAUGAGAAAGGAAUGGUACGAGAAACAGCAUUUGAUAUUUCAGUUGCUAGUGAGAUAAUGGCUGUUUUGGCAUUGACAACAUCCUUAACUGAUAUGCGGGAGAGGCUAGGGAAAAUGGUAAUUGGAAACAGCAAGAGUGGUGACCCUGUAACUGCUGAUGAUCUAGGUAUUGGAGGUGCUUUGACGGUUUUAAUGAAGGAUGCCAUUCACCCUACUCUUAUGCAGACUUUGGAAGGAACUCCUGUUCUUGUCCAUGCAGGUCCAUUUGCAAACAUUGCUCAUGGGAAUUCUUCUAUUGUGGCUGAUAAGAUUGCACUCAAGUUGGUUGGACCGGGUGGAUUUGUAGUUACUGAAGCUGGUUUUGGUGCUGAUAUUGGAACUGAAAAGUUUAUGAACAUUAAGUGUCGGUAUAGUGGUUUGACACCUCAAUGUGCAAUUAUUGUUGCAACAAUAAGGGCACUGAAAAUGCAUGGUGGAGGGCCAGCAGUUGUUGCUGGAAAACCUCUUGAUCAUGCAUAUUUGACCGAAAAUGUUGCUUUGGUUGAAGCUGGUUGUGCGAAUUUGGCAAGACAUAUAUUAAAUUCCAAAGCUUAUGGUGCGAAUGUUAUAGUUGCUAUCAACAAGUUUUCAACUGACACUGAUGCCGAGCUAAAUGCGGUUAAAAAAGCUGCCUUAGAUGCUGGGGCUUAUGAUGCUGUUAUAUGUAGCCAUCAUGCCCAUGGUGGCAGAGGAGCAGUAAGUUCAUGCUUCACAAGUCUUCACAUUUUUGAGCUAAUAACUGAGAAGCCAUAGUUAUCUUUUACCCUGACACAAGUAUAGGAUAUUGAAUUUUGACAAUCAAUAAGGCCAAAGGAAUUAAAAAAAAGAAAAAAUUUAAAUAAUGAACAAAUCACUAUCAGUAUCAGUUAAGUUGUGAUCUAACAUAUUCGGAUAUAAAAUUUAGUUGAGCUUUUUUCUAUUUUUUUUUAUAGAAACUUUCUCCAAUUUUAAUCCUCGGUCAUUUGAAGUUAUUGAGAAGCCUGCAUCAUUACCCUUAGUUUUUAAUUUGUUUUGGAUCAUAGACCCUAAUAGUGCUGAUGGUAACACAAAUUUAUCCAUCCUGUGGUUUAAACGUUAGAUUUUAAGCAAAUGGAACCAUUUCAGGGUUACAACUAGUAGCAAAAUUAAUUUUAAAUACAUGCAUUGAUUAAUAGAAUAAAUGCAAGUAGUAGUAUCUUUCUGUGAGGAAUGGUAUUUAUCACUUGCUGAAGUAUGCCUUGUCUGCAGGUAGACCUAGGCAUUGCAGUUCAAAAAGCUUGUGAGAAUGCGACACAGCCAUUGAAGUUUCUAUAUCCUUUGGAUAUUGGUAUAAAGGAGAAAAUAGAGGCAAUAGCAAAGUCAUAUGGAGCCAGCGGUGUUGAGUACUCAGAGCAGGUAUCUUAGUUAAUAUCAGUUUACUUUAACUCCUGCAAAAUAUUACCACCCUAUGUAUUUUAACAUAGAGGGGAUAUAAAAUUGUUUUAACAUAGAGGAAAGGGAGAAAGUAAAACCUGGUAAUGAUAUAAACAUAUUAUGAAAUUGUUGGUAUUUCAAAUCUUGACUUUGUUGACAAAGAUAUUUCGAUGUGAUGAAGCUACUGAAAUCCCCUGAAAUAAAAAAUGAUUGAUUAAGUUUUUCUUUAAUUUGUUUUUAUUCUUUUAACAGGAUAAUUUACAAACCAGGGGAAUGAUAUGAACGUAUUUUUCUCACCUAAAAUUAUGGUAAAGACAUUAAGUUUGGUUGACAGGUACAUCAAAAUUGGAUAGCUAACUAAUUAAUCACCCAUUGAGUUUCACUAACCAUUGUUAACCAACUUAAUAUGAACAUCAGAGAAUUCACUUGAAGUGGUCAUGAGCAAAACACUAAAGAUAAGCCAUGAACAUAAUUCUAUCCCAUAACUAGUUUAUUGGGGCAAAGAGACAUUCCUUAACAAACCACACAUCAAAAAGAAUAUGAGCAUCACAAAGUUUUAGUCUAUCUGUUUUUACUUUUUACCUGAUCUUUGAUCCUUUAUAAAUAGAUGCAUUUCUUACCACCAGGCUAUGAGGUGUCAACUUGGGUAAAAAUUUAAUCUUGUAACCUCGAUUGGCGGAGUACAAAUCCCCUCGAGGACAGGUGUAAAAUAAGCAUUGGUGCCACUUUAAUUAAUAACAAAUAUAUUUUUGAGCACCUGAUUUUCUGACCAGGCCGAGAAGAAGAUUGAGUUAUAUACCAAGCAAGGAUUUUCAGGACUUCCAAUCUGUAUGGCCAAGACUCAGUAUUCUUUCUCAGACAAUGCUGCAGCUAAGGGAGCUCCAACUGGGUUUAUCUUACCAAUAAGGGAUGUAAGAGCUAGUAUAGGAGCUGGAUUUAUUUAUCCUUUGGUUGGAACAAUGAGUACCAUGCCUGGGUUGCCAACAAGACCGUGCUUCUAUGACAUUGAUCUGGACACAACAACUGGACAAGUCAUUGGUCUCUCUUAAUUAAACCUCUAUCUAGUGGACCAUGCUCUAUCAAUUGCAAAACCUUCUCGAAUGCACGCCAAUACCAAAUUCACAAGUGCCACAGAUGAUUUCCGCAUUUUCCUUUGCUGCUGGUGAUCUGUAUGAAUGAAAUAAAUAUCUGAAGAGAUAUGUGUAAUUUUUGUUUAUGUUGUCAUUUCUUAUAUGAAUAAUUCAAUUGUUGUAAAACUCUUCGCAGCAAAUGCAUAACAGUCAGAGUUCCUGAAUAUAAAUGGAAGAAAUGCAGCAAAUGCAUAACAGUCAGAGUUCCUGAAUAUAAAUGAAAGAAAUGAAGUUUCAUCAUAAUUUCCUUAAGGAUCAGGGAUUUAUUAUUAUUACUAUUAUUUUUAUUAUUAAAUAGAAAUUUUUGCGGAAACACAAGAAAUUAUUUCUCUAAUUAUUAAGUUUUUUUUGUUUUUUUUUUGUUUUUGUGGUGGCUGGGGUUUGAACCUCGGACCUUGCAUAUUUUUAUGCAUUGUCCAUACUAACUGAGCUAAGUCCACGAGGACAAUUAUAAGGUUUGUUUAAUAAAAAUGAAAUAGUAAAUCAGAUGGAUAUGAAAAAAGAAGCAUGAUCUGGUCGAUGUCUUAAAUUAAUGGUUUUUUUUUGGGUUAAUUAUGUUUUGGUCCUUAUAAAAUUGGAAACUUCUAAGUUUGAUCCUUACUUAAUUUUAAUAGUUUUGCCGUCGUUACAAAAAUCAUUUACUUCUAAUAUUAGUCCCUCCUAAAACAAAGUUUGUUUAAUUAUCCUUAAACUCUUAAAUUUUUGAACGAUUUUUUUUUAGACAAGGUUAGAACACUAUGAAAGGUUCAUUUACUAAAAUUUAGAAUUUUUUAACAUGAAACGAAUUAAAUAUGAAUUUUUUAAAAUGGCAAAACUUAAAGAUAAAAGUAAUAAAAUCUGGAAGUAGAAAUCAAAUUUUGCGAUAAUUUUUUGCGGAGGAACUUUUAGUAAUGUUCUUAACACGUCUACAAAAAAUUGUUAAAAAACUUAAGAGUUUAAGCAUAAAUUAAUCAAAUUUGAAUUGAGUAGGGAUUAAUACUAGGUGCAUAAAUUUUUUGUAGGGACUAAAAGAACCAUUAAAAUUAAGUAAGGAUUAAAAUUAAAAGGUCUCCAUUUUAUAAGGACUAAAAUCAUAUUUAACUUUUUUUUUUGUGAACAACAUUUCUUUAGGUUGGAGUUUAGUGAAAUAGAUUUGAUUUGAUGUUAUGAAGUAGUGGUUGUGAGCAAUAAUCCUUGCCAUUGUUGACGAUGAUUUUGAGUUUUUGAUUUGUUGAAUUCAUAUUAUAAAGUAUUUGAUCUCUUAUCCAAAGGCUUAGAUCCAAUAAAUCAGGUAUAAGUGAAAUUGGAUCCCCUACAGCUUUUGACCAAAUAGAAGCAGUUGGCGAUGUUUUUGGUAAGAAUAUAGAAGGUGGUGUUUUGUUUGAUAUUUCUUAAACUCGUGAAUUGGCUGAUAAAGGUUGAUUCGGUUGGUAAAAUGUUUACUUAUUUGCAAACAUUCAAUUUCUGUUAUUAGUGCAAGGAUUUUUUUAGUAGACAAUAAGUAAUACCUUUGUUAGCGUUGUCUUGAGACAUACUCUGAUUUUCGUAAGUCCCUAGAGCCCAACUAACCUAAAUUUUAUUUAUAAAAAAUAAAAAAAUUAACAUGAAUUGUCGCAGGCAUGUAAGAGAUUUUAUUAAACUAAAGAAAAUAAAUCAUGGUAUGACCUUCUUAUCAUUUUCUUGUUAUAAUAACUUGUAAAUGAUAUCCUGAAGUUCUAGCUCAAUUGAUAAAAUGUUGAAAUUGUUAGGCCGGAUGUCAUGAUUGGGGUUCGAACCCCGGUUUCUUCACUUGUGUGUGUGAGUUUAUAAUGACUUUAUCAUUUCGUCUAUCUACAAGAAAAAAAAAAAAAACUUAGUAAAUGAUGAAAGGAGGGAAAAUAAAAGGUUUGGGAUUUGUGGAGAAUGCUUACAUGCGAGGAAAACGGCUUGUACAUGAAAAUCUUCCGUUCCUUCCUAUCUUCUCUCAUUAAUCUCUUUCUACUCUCUCCAAAAAUAGCACUUCAACUUCAGCCAUCAUCUCCCCCAUUUUCUUCUUCUUUGAACAUUGCAUACAGAACAAGAAACAUAGCUUUGUAAAUAAAUAAAAGUAGCAUAUAUUAAUUCUUUGUUAGAAUUAGAACAACAAUAUAAUAAUUAAUAAUGGUAGAUUCUCCUGCAUGUUCGAGGAAGCGAUUAUUGACAAGAACAGAUUCCAUACGCUUCGUUCCUUCAAGAGGAGGAGCUAUGAUUUUUACUUACAGUUUCACCUUUGCUUCUAUUUUGUUUAUGCUCUUCCUUGUCAAUGCUUUUCACCCUUCUAAUAGACAUCAUUUUUCUAAAGUUUUUUCUCACAUUUUCAACAACAGCUCUUCAUUCUCCCCACCCCCUUCUUACACCCCUCAAUAUAGCACCAAUGAAACCACUACUCAUGAUAAAACUUCACAUAGUUCUAAUAAGGAUACUGAAUUAGUGGUGAGUUCUCGUUCCUCUUCUCAAAUUUCAAGGAAGGAAGGUUCUGGUCUUGCACCGAAGCAAAGUAACCAAAAUGAUGGCCAAUUGUUUCCACAAAUUGCUUCUACAAUCAAACCGCAACAAGACAAGUCUUUUGCACCUAUGCCUUCACCAAAUGCCAGAGUGGAUUCUAAAAAUGUAAUACAAAGUGAUGAACAUUUGAGGAACAACUGUGAUAUUUAUGAAGGGUCAUGGGUUUUAGAUGAUUCAUUCCCACUUUACAAAUCUGGGUCUUGUCCUCAUAUUGAUGAGCCUUUUAACUGUUUCCUCAAUGGUAGGAGAGAUAAUAAGUAUGAGAAGUUCCGGUGGCAACCCAAGAAUUGCAACAUGCCAAGGUAUAUAUGAUGAUAUCCCGACAGGAACGUCUUUUCCCAGCCCCAAAGUCACUUCGGAAAUAUCUUCUAGAAAAACACAGUUUUAUGCCGUCCAGAAGCAUAGUUUCAUACAAAAACAGUUUUUUUUUUUUUUUUUUCGUUUGAAAGUAUACUUCUGGACACAUGCGGUUUUUUAGAAACACGGGGAAAUAACUCCAUUUCAUAAUGAGCAAUAUAUGUAGGAAACAAUGUAGAAUUGAUAUGGGGCUAAAACAAAGCAUGAAAAUAUGGCUAGCAUAGCUGAUUCUAGGAUGAGACGACUAAGCCGUAAAUUUUGUUUGUGUUGCUGUAUCUUUUAGGUGAUGUUUUAGUGACAUGAGCAUGUAAUGCAGGUUAAAUGGUAAAUACAUGUUGAAGAUGCUGAGGGGAAAACGUUUAGUCUUUGUUGGUGAUUCACUCAAUAGGAAUAUGUGGGAUUCUUUGGUUUGUAUUCUUAGUAAUUCAGUAAAAAAUAAGAGCAGGAUUUUUGAAGCCUCUGGUAGACAAGAAUUUCAGACAGAGGAUUCUUACUCAUUUAUCUUUACAGUAAGUCAUAUGUUAUUCCUUCACUAAACUUAAGAGUUUUAUUAUUUUGACAUGCAAAUUUGACAACGAUUUAGAUGGUUAAUGAAGUUUAAACUGAUGUCAAUGUGUUGUAAAUAAUUAACUAUCACUGAACUUAAUAACUUCUAAAAGCCACAAAUUGUGCUCAUUGGUUUGGUUGAUUUGAGCUUUCAUUUCAUUGGACUAGAAAAAAAAAAAUGUAGUGAUCAAAUUUGAGAUGGUAGGUAUUCUGUGUUAUAAAAUUGAAAUUAUGUGAUUUUUUGUUAAUAAUUGAACAGGAUUACAAUUGUUCCAUUGAGUUCUUCCGUUCGCCGUUUCUCGUUCAAGAGUGGGAGAUGCCAGGCAAGAAAGGAUCGAAAAAAGAAACACUUCGUCUUGAUUUGGUUGAGAGAUCUUGUGAUAAGUAUAAAAAUGCUGAUGUUUUGAUCUUCAACACAGGUCAUUGGUGGACUCAUGAGAAAACAAUGGAAGGGUAAUGCAGCUUUUUAUUUUAUAUUCUGUCCUUGCUAUAAGUGAUGAUGCUUUCUGUUUACUUGUAAAUGCAAAUUACUUUAGAUUUAGAGGCUGGAAUUAGGAAAAUUAAGAUGGCAACUUUUUGAGAAAAUUGCAGGAAGGAAUACUAUCAAGAAGGAAAUCAUAUCCAUGGACAACUAAAUGUUGAGGAGGCAAUUAGUAAAGCUUUUUUGACAUGGUCACGUUGGGUGGAUACUAAUAUUGAUCCUAAGAAAACUAUAGUUUUCUUCAGGGGCUAUUCCCCUUCUCAUUUCAGGUAAAUAAACAUUUAGCUUGUUUAAACCUAGUGCCUAACUCCCAUACCCAACAGAUAUAUCAUGUUUUUCUUUUAACCGCUGUAUUUUUUUUCCUAGUCCUUAUAAAUAUAUCACUUUUUUGUUUAGUCAUUGUUUUAGUUUCUACAAAUUUGUUCAUAUUAGAAUUGAUAUAUGUAAUAAGUAGAAUAUUCAAUUUUAGUCCCUCCAAGUAUGCAUCACAUAAGGACUAAAAUAAAUAUUAUAGGGACCAAUUUCAAUAUGAACAAAUUUUGCAGAACUAAAACAAAACCACAACGACUAAAAACAAAAAAGUUUAUGAUUGUAAUGACUAAUAAUUACAAGGGCUAAAUACAAAAUACAGUACAUCUUUGGAGAAUAAAAAUAUAUUUGAACAUUUGCUGGCUUUAGGAUUUCGUAUAAUCCCUCCUUGUUUCUGCUACAGGGGUGGGGAGUGGGAUUCUGGUGGUCGUUGUGAGAGUGAGACAGAACCAAUGAAAACUGAGUCUACAGAUUUGUCAGAAAAUCCUCCAAUGAUGAGGACCAUUGAGUCAGUAAUUAAGGGAAUGAAGACUCCGGUGGUUUAUCUAAACAUAUCGAAAAUGACGGAUUUCAGGCAUGAUGCUCAUCCUUCCAUGUACAGAAACAUGAAUAUGUCCGAGGAGACGAAAAAAUAUAUGCUAAAACACCAGGAUUGUAGUCAUUGGUGUCUUCCUGGUGUUCCGGAUUUGUGGAAUGAAUUUGUGUAUGCUCAUCUUUUGUAUAUCAUGAAAAGAAAUAGGGGCAAUCCCAAAACUUAAAUUCUGAUACACUGUUAUAAAUCAGCAUAGGUUUCACAUUAUCUUUGUGGUUUAAUCAGUUCAUAAAUAGGUUGUGUUAUUAUUUGAAUCUAGGUUGCAAAAAUGCCAACACCUUGUCCUUCUUUUCAAUUCAUUCUCCCAAAAACUAGAGGGAGGAUCAAUGAAUUCACAGAAGUCACUAAGGAAGCCAAAAAAAAGACUUAUGUUUUAUAUAUUAAGGAAGUUGCUACCCUAGCUUUUAGGUGAAACAAUAUAGCAAUUAUUUUAUGCUAGAUCCUCUUGUGAAAAAAUUGAGAAAGAUAUAAUUCUUUAUAGAAGCCACAUCAGAACACAUUUAGAGAAGUGGUAGAGUGAGAAUCACUGAAUUCAACUACAUCACAAUAUGUAAUUCACAAGCCAAAAUAGUUGUUACAAUUCAUACAACUUCCUUAAUUGAUCUCAUCAUUUAAUCUAUGUUGCUCCUUUGAGAAUCAUAUGCUAGAGCAAUCUAUUCAUCCUUAUUGUGGCUAAAAUGAUAUCUCAAGAAACAACUCUCGUAAUAAUAGUAAUACAAAGCCACCAAUGAAACCCACAAGUUCUGGAUUAAAAAAGAAAAAACAAGAACCUCAACAGAUCUAUGAAACUUCUUUGGCAGCAGAAAUAACAGCUUCCUUGGUUAUGCCAUACUCCUUGUAUAUUUUCCCUGCUGGAGCACUAGCUCCAAAUCGAUCAAUGCCAAUGGUUUUUCCCUUGCUUCCAACAAUCUUAUGCCAACCAAAUGUUGAUCCCGCCUCAAUGCUGACUCUAGCUGUCACAGAAGCAGGGAGAACACUCUCCUUGUAUUCAUCUGACUGAUCAUCAAAAAGUUCCCAGCUAACAAAAGAAACAACUCUUACAGUUUUUCCUUCUUUCCUUAGAUCAUCAGCGGCGGCAGCGGCAAUUUCCAACUCAGAACCAGUUCCAAUCAAAAUAACAUCAGGCUUGUUACCUGAUGAGUUGUCUGAAAUGGUGUAGCCACCCUUUUCAACACCUUCAAUAGAAGUUCCCGGAAGGUUAGGCAACUUUUGCCGAGAAAGGGCCAGAAUUGAGGGUCUCUUCUGGUUAAGCACGGCAACUCUGUAUGAUCCAGCAGUUUCAUUACCAUCAGCUGGACGAAGCAUCAAAACAUUUGGCAUUGCUCGGAAGCUUGCCAGGUGCUCUAUUGGCUGAUGAGUUGGUCCAUCCUCUCCAAGUCCAAUUGAAUCAUGGGUCAUAACAUAAAUAACUCCGGCUUCACACAAAGCUGAAAUCCUUAUGGCAGCUCUCAUGUAGUCGGUGAAGACAAAGAAAGUUGCACAGUAUGGAAUGAAUCCCGGGCUAUGAAGAGCAAUACCAUUGCAGAUUGCUCCCAUUGCGUGUUCCCUAACACCAAAACGAACAUUGCGCUCUUCUGGAGUAGCCUUUUGGAAAUCUCCAAACGAUUUCAACAAAGUCAUGUUGGAAGAGGCAAGAUCUGCACUGCCACCAAUAAGACCAGGAAGAACCUUGGCCAGGGCAUUUAGAUUUUGCUGUGACAGAUUUCUUGUAGCAUCAGCAGGGGUUUCCGGAGUGUAAGUCUGAAAGUUGAAGUCAAAUUGGAAUUGUGAUCAAUAUUCCACAAAUGGUUGAUAGAACUCAAGUUUUGUUUAGUUUAAAACUUCGAAGGCAGUCAAAAUUCAAAAGUAGGAUUAUAAAGGUGAGGAACGUGCUAUUCAAUACAAUUUUUAACACUUGUUGACAUAUGAUUCACUAUAAACUUGAACUGAGCAUCAAGCAACUACAGAAGAGAUACCUGAAGACAAAAUCAAUAGAAACCAAGAAGUACGACACAUUACUCACCGGAAGUGCUUUCUCCCAAUCAGCAGGUAAUUCACGAUUAAUAAUAGCCUUUAGCUCUGCAGCCUCCUCUUUGUAUUUCUUCUCAUACUCGGCAAAUUUAGCAUUCCACUCAGCUUCGAGUGCAGCACCCUCAGGGGUAUGGCGACUCCAAUGCCUAAGGAAUGUUAAGCAGGUUAUAAUCAAGAUCAUGAAAAUAUCAGUGGAAAUAAACAUAUAACUAAUGCUCCCAAUGCGGCUCCGUACUUUUUAACAUCUUCUGGCACAUGGAAAGGCUCGUAUGGCCAUCCAAGAUUCUGCCUUGUAGCAUCUACUUCUUUAGCACCCAAUGCGGCUCCGUGAACACUGUAGGAAUUAGCUUUGUUUGGAGAACCAAAUCCAAUGGUAGUGGUUACCUGUAAAAUAGUAAUCAAAAUUAAAUCAAAUAACUACCAUAUGACCAGCAUCGAAACCAAAUAAAAAUGAUAUAACAACACCCAAGAAAGGAAAGGUUUACUUUCACCCUCAACAGUCACAUUAUGUUCACUUCAACCAGUAUAAUCAAUUUAUCUAUACCAUGGAUUGGGUAAAUCCACUUGCUUGAAUUUCCAUUUCAUGUCACUAACCUUAAUCAAAGUAGGUUUGUCUGUGACAGCCUUUGCUUCCUUAAUGGCUGCACGAAUUUCAUCAUACCCAGUAUUUCCGUUCUUUACCCAAAUCACAUGCCAUCCAAGUGCCUCAAAACGUUGAUCAACAUUCUCAGUGAAUGCAAUUUCAGUGUCACCAUCAAUAGAAAUGUGGUUAUCAUCAUAAAAUGCAAUUAGCUUUCCAAGACCCCAAUGUCCGGCAAGUGAACACGCUUCAUUUGAAAUUCCUUCCAUUUGACAACCAUCUCCCAAUAUAACAUACCUAGAGCAGACCAAAAACAAAAGCAAAAGACAAAUGUCACAUUACGAAUCAGGAAAACACUGCAAUUCACAAGUGCAAGCAUGUAUAGAUCAACAUGUAACAAGAUGUAAUUAAUUAUCUCACGUGUAAUGGUCAACAAUCUCACUGUCAGGCUUGUUAAACCGUGCAGCCAAGUGCUUCUCGGCAAGUGCCAAUCCAACACCAUUGGCAAUACCCUGACCCAGAGGACCUAAACAACAAAAAUACAAGGAUAGUUGAAAUUCAUUACAGAAGAAGCAAAAAAGGCUCACAGUAACAUCAAACUAAAGAGACAUAUUAUUAUCAAUAUUGUUAUUUUUAUAAGACCUGUGGUGACUUCAAUUCCAUAUGUCUCGAAGUUCUCGGGAUGUCCAGGAGUUUUGCUUCCCCAUUGUCGAAACUGCUUCAAGUCAUCUUCCUAUUAUUUUAUUCAAUCCAAAGACAAGAAAUUCAGCUCAGUCAAAAAAUGAAAGAUUCCACAGCUAUAUACCAAUACCACUCACUAUGCAUAUCAAUUCAUUAUAGUAAUGAAAUUGUUAGUCAGGAAAUUAUAUCUUUAAAGUAAACGAAAUUUUAAAAUGAUAUCUAAACUUGAAAAAUUCUCUGCCACAUAAGCAAUCAGGAACAAUUUCAUUUCAGCUACUAAAUUGACCAAGCCAAAAUAAUUAAAAGUAAUUUUCAUUUGUAAUUAGUUUUGUUAUGUAAGUAUUUAUCUCCUUUGUCGGGAUUUGAACUCUGUUACAGAUUUUCAAUUUUAAUAUACUAUUUUGAAAUUUGGUUAAUUUAAAGAUUAAAGUAAUAGAAAAAUUAAAUUUUAUUGGUUAAUCCUACGAGUUUAAUUAAAGAGUAAAAAAAAAUAAAAACAGUGAUUAAUGAAAUGAAAGAGAAAAAAGAGUAACCUGGACACUGUCAUAACCAGCAAGAUGAAGAAGAGCAUACUGAAGCAUACAACCAUGUCCAGCAGACAAAACAAAGCGAUCACGGUUAAACCAAGAAGGAUUCUUUGGGUUAUAUCUCAUAACUUCAUCGUAUAGAAUGUGACCCAUUGGAGCACAACCCAUGGGUAAACCCGGGUGACCCGAAUUAGCUUUCUCAACGGCAUCGAUAGCAAGGAAUCGAAUAGUGUUGACUGAUUUCUCAACGAGAGAAGCUUCGGUGGUUUUGUCGAGUGUUUCAACAGCGGUGGCGCGGAUGGCUGGUGUGGUUCUGCGACGGGAGGUAGGUGGUUUGGAUGAAGAGGAGGAUUUGAGAGCAGGGAAGGAGAGGGAAGAAGUGGAAGAGAGUGAAGCUGCACGAAUUUCAGGGUUGAGGUAAACGGCACGUGCGAGGAAUGCUUGAGAAAGAUGAAGAGAAGAAGAAGCCAUAGUGUGAUUGAUUAGAGAGAAUAAUCAAUCAAGAAGAAGAAGAAGAAGAAGAAGAAAGAGUGUAGUAAGUAAAGUAAUAGUAGUAAGAGUGUUGUUGGGAUUAGAUAGAAUAUGUAGGUGGUGGUAGUGUUUGUUUGGUGUGUAAGCUAUGGAAAAUCUCAGCCUAUGCUUUCUUGCUAUCUAUCUCCUCCCUCACUUAUCUACCUCUCAAUCCAUUUCAUCAUUUAUUCUUUUUUUUUCUUUCUAUUAUUUUAUUUAUUAUUAUUAGGAUAUUCGAAUCUUCUUCUUGCCUCCCUCCCACCCAGUAUUAAUAAUUUAAUUCAUUUACUAUGUCAGAUGUGUAUAAUUAUAUUAUGUACGUAUUCAAUAUGACAAAUUUAAGUUUUAAUUUUGAUCGGUUCAAUUCAAGUAUCAUUACUUUCUUUGGAAAAUAAUCAAUCUAUGAGAAUCGACAUCCUUGUAUUAAAUUUUAAUCAAUUAAUAGAUUAAUCAAAGUUUAUUCCAGCAGACGGAAUUAGACUAGCACAAUGUAAUAAAUUGAUGUUUGAAUUAUGUCUGAUUUAACAUACAUUUUUUUGAAAGAUAUAUAAUUUUGUCUCAUCUAUCAUAUAUUAUUUCAUAUAAUCAAAAGAGAAAAUUUUAUUAACUUAGGAGUAUAAAUGAUACACCGUCCUAAAGUAAAUCACACGAUCAUACAAUGCAUUAUUCUCAAAUUUAAACUAACAAUUAGUUAAGCAUCUCAAUAGACAAUUAAACCAAUCAAAAUACAUCGUUGAAGACUUCCUUGUCGACCCUAUCAAAAAACUAGCUCUAAGACACCAAUUCAAUUUGAGAUAUUAUCGAAUUAUGGUCUAUUAUGUCUUCUUGAAAAGAAAACAAAUAUUUGAGCCGACCAAAUACACACAAAAUAAUCACCUAAAUAAAAAAGUGAGUUACCUUCUUGAAUAUUUAUUACGGGUAUUUUUGACCUUGUGUUUUCUAGCUUUUAAUCCAUUUGAUGAAUAUGAAAACAACUAAAUCAACAUGCCACAUAGAUAAAUUCUGAUGACAUAUGUUAAAUGAAGUAUCAAAAGUAAAUAAUCUAACAUGUCAUGAAUUGGUUUUUUUUUUUUUUUUNNNNNNNNNNNNNNNNNNNNNNNNNNNNNNNNNNNNNNNNNNNNNNNNNNNNNNNNNNNNNNNNNNNNNNNNNNNNNNNNNNNNNNNNNNNNNNNNNNNNCUUUGUCUUUCUUUUCUCUGCUCUGUUCUUUUCCGCUGCAAUCUGACUCUGAUCAUUUCAUCAGAAGCAAUCAAACUGCUUCUGAAGUUUUAUCAGAAGAAGAAUCCUUUUUUAAGAGAAAAAGAAAACACAAUUCAACCCCCCCUUCUUGUGUUUUUCACCUUCAUAUUUCAAGCCCAUUUUUCCAACCGGGCUUUUUGGCCCGGCCCGAUAAAGCCCGAAGCCCGUUUAGGGCCAGGCCGCCCGUUUUGAUAGCUCUACAUUUAUGUACAAUUUCAUUAAAAAAAUACAAAAAUUUACUUUGAAAUAGGGACCAAAAGUAGUGUCUCAAAAUUUUAUAGGGACUAAAAGUUGAAGGAAAAUUUUAGAGGGACUAAAACGAAAAGUUGGUAUAUUUAUAGGGACCAAAAUAUAUUUAACCCCUAUAUUAUUUUACCAUCCCUUCCGUCGUCAUUUAAAUUGCUAUGUAGUCCCGGUAACUAUUAGAGCUCUAUUUCUCUCAACAAUACUAUAAAACAUCAAACAAAUUGCAUUAUCAUCGUAAUAAUAAUUAAUACUCUACUUAUUUUCUUUAUUAGAUUAAAUAAAUAAAAUUUGGGGUGUUACAAUCAUCACCAAUUAGAGGUGGGUUUCUGAUCUUUUCGGUGAGAACGGUUGAGUAGCAACAGUGACAGAGAAUGUUCUGAUGUGACGGUAACGACUUCCAGCACGAUGGUAAUGAAUCUUCACUUGGAACGAAGGGUGCAUACAUACACUUUAACACUCCAACGCUCAAUUCAGUAAUGGAACUGAAAAAGAGUGUGUAAGAAGUGUUGUGAAAAGUGAUGUAUACCUUAAGGGUGAAGCAAGUUCACCCUUAUAUAGGCGCGCUUGGAUCAUAAUUGUCUCCGUGAAGCAAGUUAUGGGACACAUACAUCAUGAUCUCUGAGUGGAGGCGCGGUCAUGUGUGGCACGGUGUACGCAAGCUGGUGUGCGCUCCUUCGAGGACGGAGCUUGAGGCGGUUUAUUUUAAGCCACGUGUAACUGCUUGAGUGGUCUUGUGACCGGUCCAGAAGAAUUUUCUUUUUUUCCCUCAUUCCACAUGCAUAAAAUUAUGAUAAUUGAUUUUGUGGAUUAUGAGGUGUUAAGAGUCCCACAUCGGAUAGGUGAUGGCCGGACAAUGUGUUUAUAACUGGUGGCAAUCCUCACCUCACAAGCCGGUUUUGUGGAGUUGUGUUAGGUCCAACCACGAUUUCUACGAUGGGGGCUUUAUUGGUAAAAUAAGGGUUCAUUAUGCAUGAACGUUAGAUCUAAGAGUUGAAGUUGAUGCAUUUACUAAAUGGUGUAUUUUCCUAUUAAUUGGAUUAUAGGUGAUUGAUGAUAGAGUUUUGAAAUUCCUGUAAAUAGUCUUUUUUAUCAUUGUUGUCAAAAUUCCGACUUAAAUCUUAAAAUUUAAGAUAUUGCGACUUUAUACUUUAUUCACCUUCAAACUCAUAUCCAUAGCAGAAUUCUAAAAUAGGCAAAAACGUAUUAAAAUCGCAUCUAAAUCGUGAAAUCCAUACAAAAUCGCAAGAUUUUGAAGGAUUUUGUCCAUUUAUUUUAGUCAUUUAUGUAUAAGUAUUUUGUGGACUUUAAAUUGAGUCAUUUAUGACUAUAUACAAUUUAUAAUAUAUAUUUAGCAUUAUUUAUGUUUUAGUAAAAUCCACCGAUUUUGAUUGCGAUUUUUUAUAUUGAUUCUACAAAAGUAGUUGAGUAAAAUCCUUUGAUUUUGAUUACGAUUUUACGAUUUUCGAUUUUACUCUUCCCUUUCGACCUAAAAAAAAAAAUCAUGAUUUUGACAACCUUGUUUUUUUACUACUAAUAUAGCUAUAAAAUAGCGCAUGAAAUUUACGGUUAUAGAAUAAGUUGUCUAAACAUGUAGCGAAACUCUUAAUAUUGUUGUGAGAUUAAUUCUGUAGACGAUGCAAACAAGAAGAUGAAUGAGAAAGGAUUGAGUAAUUUAUUCAUUUAUUUAAGUUUUUCUUGGUUUAAGAUUUUUCUGGGUAUUUUUUAUAAACAUUGAUGAAGAUUUGUUGAAGAUGAUGAAGGUGAGGAGAGGAGAAAGAAGACGAAGAGAUAGAAAAAAGAAUUAUUUGUAGAUAGUAUACUAUUAGAUGCAAUAGACCCACACAAUCUAAUGGUUUCCUUUUUGACAAAAAGAUCCAAGGGUUAAAAUUGAAAAUAUUAAUGAGAUUUUUCUUUGUCCAUCUAAGAUAGCCGGGGUUAACCCCUUGACAGAAGGGACAAAAUUGUGUAACGGAUGCAUAUUUAAAGGAUCUAAACAGACCAAAAAUUAAUUAUGGGAUCAAAAGAUAUAAAAAAAAUAGUUAUGGGACUAAAUUAGCAAUUAAAUCUUAAUUUUUGUACAUCUUAGAGUUAAAAAUCCAUAAUUUCGAGGUACAUUAAAUUACAAACUUAAAAAUAAAUAAAAGUUAUGAUUAUUGGGUGAUUGUACGAAAAUUAAAAGGCAACUCAAGAAACAUUCUAGCAUGAGAAUAAGGUAUAUUGUGUGGUUUUUUUCCAAGUGUAAGAACUCGUUACUCCCUGAAUCGGGUUUUUAAACACUCUAGAUUCUGAUUCUCAUACACUAAGUGGCUUCACUCAUUUACAAGUCUACAUAUGUUUUUAAUGCACAUAAACAUUAAAGGAUACAUGACGAAACGUUGUGGACAAUCAUCAUCAACUUUACAUAUAGAUUUUGCUAAAAUAAGAAAAUGAAAAAAAAUAUAUAUUACUAAAAUGAGAUUAGAUAUUAUGUAGGAACUACAAUGUUAAGAAGAAAAGUUGAAAAGGGUGAAAAAUUAGCUCACCAUAAACCUCCUUUGUAACCAUAAAUAAAUAAAGACAUGAAAACAUAGCAUAAAUAAACUUUAGUGUUUUAUCCAUACUAUUUUUUUUUUCUCUUUUCUUAAACAAAUAGAAUAUGAAUUUGAUCACUUUAUAAUGAAUGAAGCUCAUGUAAUUAUGAAAACAAUAUAAUAUUUUUGACACUUAAAAACAUGAAUGUGAUGUACUUGUAAUUUUACCACACUUUGUAAAGGUUUCUUAAAUUAAUUUUGGUUUUGUGUUUGUCCCUUUAGCUCACUUGGUAAAAGGGUAAAAUUAAUUCUUGUUAUUUUAUAAUUUACUUUUUAACCUUUUAUGAUAUGCUUAUCUCACGACGCCAGAUGUGCCUUCCGAACGUGGUUGGUUUGAUGAUGUGUGGGUGAAGGAAGCUCCGCUUAAGGUCUCUGUUGUUUGGCGUUUGCUCCGCAAUCGAAUCCCAACUAAAGAUAACCUUUUCCGUCGGCGCAUCAUUCCUUUUGACGACAUUUCUUGCAUUAUUGGUUGUGAUUCUCUCGAGACGGUGGAUCAUCUCCUGCUUCAUUGUCCUCAUCUUGAAGUGGUGUGGCAUCACAUCUUUCAGUGGCUAGGCAUUUAUUUUAUUGCUCCGGCGUCUAUCUCCGAUCAUCUUCAUCAAUUUUGUCAUUUGGUGGGGUUUCCGCGCACUAUUCACUCUUUUCUAAUGGUAAUCUGGAUGGCUACUGUCUGAGCUAUCUGGAAGGAAAGAAACAACAUGGUUUUUAACCAGAAGAUUGAUACUUUAGAUCAUUUAGUAUAUAAAAUUAAAUUGAUGUCUUUUUCUUGGCUAAAGGCAAACAAGCCUACUUAUGCUUUUAGUUACCACGACUGGUGGCGGCACCCUUUACCUUGUAUGGGUGUUUUAUUGUAGCCUUGUGUUGCUUUGUUGUUCUUCAGGAGUGUCCAUUUAUGGCACCAGACAUUUAGCUGUAUUCUUUUGGUGGGUGGUUCUCUUUUGCACACCUUAUACGAGAUGAAUCAUCUUUGAUGAUAUAAUAUAUUCUAUUUUGGCUUUGUAAAAAAAAACCUUUCAUGAUAGAAAUGGAAAAUGUCUUUUUAAUUUUGUCGACCGUUAAAACAUUCGGUUGUACGAAUACUACAUAAUGAACAUGACAAGUUGACAACAUAGUUAUGGGUUUAAGAAUUGCUCUUAUUCGCAAGUACUGUAAAUUGUACUGUUUCUGUGAAAUCUACGAGUUGUGUUUGUUAAUAGUACUGUUAAGAUUUGUGUGUUUUCGUGUUAAUAUUCAGUUUUGCUUUGACUUGUGAAUAAGGUGAUGAUACAGAAUAUUUUCUUGGGUACGUAAAUACCUCUUUUCGUCCCUGUAAUAUUAACGAAUUUCGGUUUUAAUCUAUGUAAAAAAAGAUUUAGAUUUUGUUCCUGUAAUUUCAUAUUCUUCCACUUUUGGUAGCUCAUUCCACCACGUCAGCAAAAUCUGCAUACAUGGCACGUAAAAUGAGGGACCAAAAAUGGAGGAAUCUGAAAUUACAGGGACCAAAGUGGGAGAAAUAUGAAAUUACAGGGAUGUAAUUUAUGCGGAUUCUGCUGACGUGAUGAAAGGAGGGAUCAAAAGUGGAAGAAUCUAAAAUUACAGGGAUAAAAUCUAGAUUUUCUUUUUUACAUGGACUAAAACCGGAAUUCGCUAAUAUUACAGAGACGAAAAGAGGUAUUUACCCUAUUUUCUUUUGUACUAACUAUUGAUAGUUUGGAGCCCAGCACAGCUUCACAAUUUCUUUUAUCCUAAAUCAAAAUGUGAUUCUUCUGAUUAUUAUAUGUAGGGGUUGGGGUUCGAACUUCAGACAUCCCACUUAUUCACAUUGAAAAAAAGAUGAAUUCUAAUUACUAGAUUAUUUGACCAAAAAAAAAAAUGUAUGUUUAUUUUAAAUAAAUACUUAAUAAAUUGGUAACUUUAUUUAACAAAAAAAAUUGAUAACUUUAUUAAAUGUUUUCCUUCAAAAAAGACUUUAUUAAAUGUUUGCAAAUUAAUUAUGUAUCAACUGGAAUUAGAUUUAGCCGAAGAAAUUAAACUCUCGGCAGAUAUUGUCUCUAAUAAGAUUAGCUCUCACUAAUAUUUAUUUUUGAAAUAAUUAGCUAUCACUAAAUGCAACUUAUAAAAAAAUUAAAAUUAAUUUGUGUGUAGGUAACUUAUAGGAAUAAACUUUUUAGAAUAAAUUACAACAUAUCAUAUUUGUUUGUAUAUUUAAACAAUUUAAUGUUAAUGGUCAUGAUAUAUGAUGAUGUCCAUGAGAAGAUGACAUGUACGAUACCAUAUUAUGGAAUAUAUAAUUUUUGCUUGUAUUAAAAAUUAGUCUCUAACAAUGGCAAAAAUGCCCUCUCAACCGAAAGCAUCAAACAUUUUCACCUUGGAACGGUGAUCCUGAUAAUGAUAUAUUUGAGUUUAUGAGGGAAUACAUUUGAGUGAUAAUUAUAUAAAAAAUAAUUAAAUUUUUUAUUGUCGAAUGAUUAAAUAUAUUAAAUGAAAAUUAACAAUAUUAACGUAAUGUUUCUAUUAAAUAUUUUUCUCUUAUAUAUACAAAAAUCUAUUAAAUAGUCGAAUGUGUCAGUUUUAGAUUUUAUUUGUUUAUAUAUGCCAAAACAAAUUUUAAUGUACAUGUAUAGAAAAAUCGAUAUAAUAAAAUUUUGAAAACUGAUGAUUAUUUUUAAAAUAUCAAUAUGAAUGUAGUGUUUCUAUUAAGGAUAAUACUACUUGGCACGAUGGAGAGCAAGUAUGACACAGACAACUGUUUGAAGCCGUUAGAUAACUCAUAUCAACAACAUGUUUUCUAUUUUUUUUACUUAUCGUAUAUCUUCCGCUUUUUUCUUUCUUUCCGCUAUCACUUUAAUAUGCAUGUCGUUUAAUUUCGUGUGGUUUAGGUAUUGUGCUGUAUAACAUUUCCCUUUUUUUUUUUUUGUUAGAUAGACGAAAUGGCAAAGCCAUUAUAAACUCACACACACAAGUGGAGGUACCGGGGUUCAAAUCCCGGUCAUGGCAUCCGGCCUAACAAUUUCGACAUUUUGCCAGUUGAGUUAGGACUUCUGGAUAUUAAAUCACUUCUAAUUUAAUACGCAAAACACCGUUAAUAUUUGUACUCCACUCGUUUAGGAUUUUAUAUGUUUAUAUACUCAUAAGAAAUUUUUUAUGUAGCGAUAUGCGAUAGUCGAUAUGAUAAAUUUUUUAAAAUUUGUGACUAUUUUUAAAAUAUCAACAUUAUUAUGGUGUUUAUAUUAAACAUUUUUUAUUUUCUAUAUAAAAUAUCGUUAAAUAUUUUCACCACACCUAAUUACAGAUUGUACGUGCUUGUAUCUCAAAAAUCAAAUUUUACAUAUACCGUCGAUAUGAGAAAGUUUAUAUGCUUAAAUUAAAAACUAAUUAUUAUUUUAAAAGAUAUCAACGGAAUGUAGCGUUUUUUUGAAUUUUUUAUAUGCAAAUUAAUGAUAUUAAGAGAUUAAAGGAAAAAAAUAUAUAAACUCACUUGGAUUGGUCUGGUGGUAUUGACUUGAGAUUUGGGAGUGUGUUCCUCCUUAGAGUAUAAAGUAUCGGGUUUGAUUCUCUUCGAUGUCAAUUUAGGUAUGCUAAUUUAGCUUCAUAACAAAAAUUAAUAUAUAUAUCCAAUGAUCCAAAUUCAUUUUGUAAUGAAAAAAAAGGAAAGGUCUCCGAGUUAGAGACUUACACGUGUUGUUUGCAUGCAAUUUUAAAAAAAAUAAAAAGUUAUUUGCAUGUAUGUAUGUUUAUUUUGUCCCGUGAGCAUAACUCAGUUGGCAAGACAUGCAUUAUUAUAUGCAGGGGUUGGGGUUCGAAUUUCAGACACUCCACUUAUUCACAUUAGAAAAAAAGUGAAUUCUAACCAUUAGACUAACUUAAAAAAAAAUGUAUGUUUAUUUUAAAUAAAUACUUAAUAAAUUGAUAACUUUAUUUAACAAAAAAAUUGAUAACUUUAUUAAAUGUUAUCCUUCAUAAAAAACUUUAUUAAGUGUUUGCAAAUUAAUUAUGUGUCAACUGGAAUUAGAUUUAGCCGAAGAAAUUAAACUCUCGGGAGAUAUUGUCUCUAAUAAGAUUAGCUCUCACUAAUAUUUAUUUAUUUUUGAAAUAAUUAGCUAUCACUAAAUGAAAACUUAAAAAAAAAAAUUAAAAUGAAUUUGUGUCUAGGUAACUUAUAGGAAUAACCUUUUUUUUUUGUAAUAAAUUGCAUCAUAUCAUAUUUGUUUGUAUAUUUAAACAAUUUAAUGUUAAUGGUCACAAUGUAUGAUGUCCACGAGAAGAUGACAUGUACCAUACCAUAUUAUGAAAUAUAUCAUUUUUGUUUGCAUAAAAAAUUAGUCACUAACAAUAGCAAAAAGGUCCUCUCAACCGAAAGCAUCAAACAUUUUCAUCCAGGUGAUGAUACAUUUGUAGUUUUUUUUUUUUUUUGCUUUCGCAUCGGUUUUCGACCCACCAAUGGUGGACGAUUAAUCCGGCUAUGCGUAGAGGUAUGCGCACUGACCAAGUGUUGUUCUCCCUGAAAAUCGAACCCUAUAUUCCCCGGAUACGUCCUUGAGCUCCUUGGUUGAUACAUUUGAGUUUUUGAGGGAAUACAUUUGAGUUGUAUUCUGUUUAUGGUGAGAUGUUUGAAAGAAAAAAAAAAGGCGAGAAAUUAGAUUGGCCGAGUAUCAAUCAAAUUAGAUUCGCUAUAUCGACACAGAGUGUACGAUUUUGGUUUUAAUAUUUUAGGUUUUGAUGGUGUCAAUGGAAUUCUUUGUCUCCUUUAUACGAUACCAUAUUACGGAAUAUAUCAUUUUUGUUUGUACAUUAAAAAAGAAAAUUAUGUUAUCGAAUCAAACCACUAAGAAAUUUAAGCUCAUUCCUUCCAACCCUUUUGUAUUUUGGACCUAAUUUGAGUGUUUUGCUUAACCAUCGUGAACUUGGUUAUGAUUCUGUCAACAACGACUAUAAAGCAAUGUUCCAUGGAAUAGUUUGUUGAGAAAUUAAUUCCAUCCCCCAUAUGUGGGAGAAUAAGUUAUAAAAAAUAAAAUAACAUUUUAAUCCCUUUUGACUUUGACUAAAACCCUAAUCUUGAAUCUGAAAACUCCAACUCUUCUUCCCUUCCCACGACACAGAAGAAUGGAGAGAUGUGUGGCUGCGUUGUCGUCAAAUUCAAAUAAACAGAAUGUAAAGGUAAGAAGAAGCCAAUCACAUAUUCCUAAUGAUCUUUCCUUCUCUAUUCUUUCCAAAUUACCUAUAAAAUCAUUCAAGCGUUUUGGUUGUGUACGUAAAUCAUGGUCCCUUUUAUUAGAUAACCCUUAUUUCAUGACCAUGUACCGCUAUCAUUUCGUAACAAAGGAUCAUUCUUAUUAUGAUGAUACCUCUCUCCUCCUACACCAAAUAUUAACUCCUUGGGGCCUCCACCCUGGCUGUGACCGUUAUCCUCACGAUGAUACAUUUGAGUUGUAUUCUGUUUCCGGUUCGAGUUUUGAAAAUAAGGUCAAAUUAGAUUGGCCAAAUAUCAAAUUAAAGCCGGGAUAUUAUAGGGCUGGAGUCAAAUAUGAGCGUGGUUUUAGGCUUUUAGGUUCAGGUAGUGUCCAUGGAACUCUUUAUAUGGUUUGUGCACACAACGGGAAUUUUAUAUUAUGGAAUCCAUCUACUAAGGAAUCUAAACUUAUUCCUCCUAGCCCUUUUGAUUCUGAACCUAAUUGGCGUUUUUGUGUUAUUCAUCGUGGAUUUGGUUAUGACAGUGUUCGAGAUGACUAUAAAGUGAUAUGUUAUGGAAAAGUUUCAAGAAACUGUUAUGGAGUAUUUACCGAAGAAGCUAAUUGUGGCUCCUAUUUAUGGGAGAUAUAUAGUGUAAGAAGAAACUGUUGGAGAAAACUUGAUGUCGACAUGCAUAAUAAGCAUGAUAGUUGUAACCAUCAACAAUUGUACGUCGAUGGACUCUCACACUGGAUGUGUUUUGGUGAAACAUGUCAGGAAAGAUAUAUGUUGUCAUUUGACUGGAGCAACGAGAUUUUCCUUACAACACUCAUACCCCCCGCCCCCAUCUCCAACAUAAAUGGUCGUCUUGAAGAUUUUUGGGGGAUGAAACAGUUGUUCCUAUUAAACGGGUCUAUUGCUUUCAUAGUAAGUUAUAAAGAGACAGGUACAUUUCACAUUUCAAUUUUGGGAGAACUCGGUGUAAAGGAAUCAUGGACUAAGAUCUUUAUUGUAGGGCCCUUUCCUUGCCUUGAGUAUCCUAUCGGAGCUGGAAAGAAGGGCGAUAUGUUGUUCCGGAAGAAAGACGGCAAAUUCGCUUGGUUUGAUUUAAAUACCCAAACAAUAAUUGAGGAGUUUGGUGUUAUAACACAGAUGCUUGGAUGUCAGAUAACAAUUCAUAAGGAAAACCUUCUUCCUUUUGAAGGAAAAAGUAUUUAAUAGGCAUUGUUUUUUGGGUUUCACUUUGGAUCUUGAGCAUCUUGUGCUAAGAUGUGUUUCUAACUAUUUGGCCUACGUUUGUGUCAUUGAACUAGGAUGUUUAAUUUUACGUCAUUAUUGGAUUAUGUUACUGAGGUAGAAUCAAUGUACUGAUGCAGAGAAUACAAUGGACUGUUAAUGUCAUCUGUCUCAUGAAAGUAUCAUUUUCUUUUUAUAAGUGAAGGUUUGAUUACAGUUCUGUUUUUACUUGUUUACUGUUCUAUCAGAAUAUCAUUAACGAGUAAACCCUCAAUUUAGAUCACUCUUCUAUCUAGUCUUUAAACAAUGAACACACAAUAAAGAUGACUAUAUACAAUUUGGUAAAAUCUAUCGAUUUUGAUUGCGAUCUCUUUGAGUCUUAAAAACUAAUGGUCUAGGAGGAAAUUAAUAAGAGUUUGUCAUUGUUAUGAUUUCUCAAAAUUUACUUUGACUUUAAUUUUAUCUCCCAAAGAUGAUACUCUGAAGCUUUGGCUAAAUUUACUAAACUUAUCCAAAACCAAAAAUAAUUAAAAAUUAUUUCUUGAAGAAGUGACCAUGGUGGUUAAUUUGCUAACGCUCCUUUUUUUUGUCAUGGGUCUACACACAGAAAUAGAAAAAAGACAAAAAAAUCAAGAGGCAAAAACAUCAAAAAUUUUGGUCAUUUAACAAAUAUGUUUAUUUAUGUCAAAAAGAAAAAUAAAAAAAAUAAUUCUAUUGUACUCAUCUUGUCUGAUUCAAGGAAGGAAUGUUGGCAAUUUAUCAACGUAGGAAUCCCUAGGUUUGUAAACUAACAUCAAGUUCUUUUGUUAGAUUACUUUUCCAAAUAUAUCCACCCUUAAUCUAAGCCAAGUUAUAACCCAUACAAUCCUCAAAGUGUGUAUAUAUUUUAAUUUUGGCUGUCUGUUUUAAAUUGUCUGAAAUUUACUGCAAGGUACAUUCAUGUGACAACUGGAGUGGCCAGAUGUUGUGACCAACCCUAUUGGCUUCGGGUGAUACAUACGUGUAUUAUGGAAAAGAGUAUGGCUGAGAAUAUGAGCUAUUUUAUUGUUCUCAAAUAAGUAACACGAAUUGUUUAGACGAAACAACAAUCCAUGUUGAUUUGAUUCUCUACUUAUAAUUUUAUUAAUUGGGAAACUAUCUGGUACACUUGCCUAAUCUGACUACAAUCCACUUGGAUACGACAAAUUCUAAAUAAUUACUUUUUAUCAUAAAACUACAACUAUCAACAACCUAUGUUGCAUUCAUAACCAACUAUUCCUUUGGAGUUGUGAUAUGCAUUGUUAGAUUAUCGGGUUUCGUAUAGUUUUGAUUACACAAAUGAUUAUGUCUUUCCUCAACGAUUCAUGCUUAUGCACUUAAAAUCCUAAAUCUCUCUACCCUUUUCAACCAUCACUUGAAAUAAUAAAAAAUAUAAAUCUUUAGACAUAAAAUUAAAUUAAUAGUUUACAAUUAAAAGGAUUAUUUUUUUACUCUUAAAUAUUAAAUAUAUUCUUAUUAUAACUGAUAUUAUUUAUAACUUAGUUGGGACAAAGAUGAUACAUCAAAAUUAAGAGACGAAAUAAGACAAUCUAUAAUUAAAAUAAUCUUUAGUACCACAAUUCAUUUCAUUAACAACAUCUAAGAGUAAAAAGCAAUAAUUUACAAAAUAAAAUAUAAAUUAAAAUACAAUUACUGCAUUUAAAACCUCAUUUUAAUUACAAUUCUACAUCCUCUGUCGAUGCACUUAAAAUAUAAAGGAGGAUUCGAAACUUUGGGACAUUCGUCAUCAGUUUUACAUUUCAUCCAGUCAUCUGCAACGAAAAAAGGAAAUAAAACAUAUUACUAAACCAAAAUAAAAAUUUGUACAGUAACUGCAAAUUAUAGAAGUAAAAUUCAAAAGGUUAAACAUAUUGCUUACUUUGAGCUGCUUGUGAGACAAUAAAUAGGGAUAGAAAUAAAACCAAAGCAUAAACAAACUUGAUAAUUUUAGUCAUAUUAUUUUCUCUUUGUAUGCAACAAUUUGUAGUUUAGAACGCUCAUACAAUGUGUUAUAUUUGACCCUUUUCACACUUAUUGUUUGUCCCUUAAUGUGUUGCGUUUGAAAGGGGAAAUGUAUUUUUAAUUAACUUCUCAACCUUUCAUGAUAUAGAAAUUCAUAUGAAUAGCAAACAAUUGGUGUGACAAUAUAGUUAUGCACAAGUUAAAAUUGAAGGAUUUUUUAAUAUAUUUAACAAAGUGAUAUGAUAAAAUAAAUUGCACUCUUCAAGUCAGUGCCAAACUCUAAUUUUUACUCACUUAAUACUAAUUAUUUCUCAAUACCUUUCAAAGUCUCGAAGUAGUUAUUUAUAUACAAGGAUAUGAAACAAAAUUUCCUAUUAUUACUUAUAGCAUAACAAACGGGUCAUAUUUCAUUGAACGUUAUAACUGCAUGAAAAAGGCCAUUUUGCUUCAAAUUGUUGUCGAUAUUGUAAGACAGUUGGGCACUUGAUUCAAAAUUGUCCCAAUUGUCCUGCAUGAUUGAUGAAAGGUCAUCUUACGUUAUUUUUAACUUUGUUUUUCAAUCAUUUUUAGUAGGUUUUAGCAGCAAAAAGGAGGAGUAUUAGUAAGAUAGCCUAUGAUUUCAAGACUUUUGUAAUGUUUUCUAUAUUUGAGUAUGUAAUUUUAGUUUUCCCGAAACACAACAAUUUUAGGGAGUUUUGAAGUAAUUCAUGAAGAAAUCAUGCAAAUCGGCAAAUCAAGAACAACUGAAGAAUUGUCAAGACUUUAGGAAGACAAAGAAUGAAGAUUCAAGAGGCCUCAAGAGACUUUACAUAGGAAGGAAUUAUGUUUCCAAGUUCCGGGCAAGUUAUUUGAAGACGAAGACCUAAAAACGACGAAGAUCAGAGAAAUUGGGUCCGAAAGCACAAUCAAAUGCGCCUAGGGCAUGAAAUUACAUUACCAUGCGCCUAGGGCAUGCAAUAUGCGCCUUAUGCAUUGCCUAAAGGUAAUAUGCGCCUCAAGCAUUUGCUAUGCGCCCCAAGCAUCUCAAAAUGCAGGGGCGCAGGCGUAAUUUUAUUCAUUUUUCGGGGUUUAGCCCGCGUUUUUAGUCCAAACCCAGUUAUAAAUCUCAACUAUAAAUAAUAGCCUUCCUCAUUCAGAAUUUCUUGUUCAGAACUGUGACAGUUCAAGAGGAAGGCUAGUUUGGAGCUUCGGGAGAUAAUCUUUCUUCUUCUUGAUUUUCUAGGGUAUGUUUUUCUUUUUUGUAAUUUAUUUUUAGUUACCAUGUGUUACUAAAUCUUUUUAGGUUAGAGUUCUAAGAUGAAUCUUUAUAUAUUUUUGUUGGAUAUUUAUUUAAUUUAAUAUGUCGUUUAUUUUAUUUUAUUUAUUCUUUUGUUCGCUAUUAAGUUUUAUUAUGAAAUAGUUUAUUUUUGUGAUAGGUGCAACCCUAGAUUAGGUACUUAGGUUGUGACAGGGCCUAAUAUUUUUAUCAUUAACUGGAUGCUUAUAUCUUGAUAUUUAUAUCCCUUUUCUGAUUACUAUAUAUAUAAGAAGUAAGUGAUUAUUAACUAGUCAAAGAUACCAUAGGAAUUGUUGAUUCUAGACGUAGGUACUCAUUUGAUGAUGCCCACUAAGUCGGGUGGUACCUUACCGAACCUAGGAAUUAACUGGUUAGUAAUUAGGGAACCAAGCACCUAGCUGUCUGAUUUAAGCUAUAACCUAAUAGAACCAUUCUCUUGAAACCCUUGGUAAGGUAGACGUAGAUUAGGGAUGCCCGUUUGUAGAACUAUUAAGAAAGCGUAGAGAGAGUGUGCUAUGAGUGUCCUAAGAUUCAUAGAUGGGCACACCUAAGGGAACCUUGUCCUUCAUUGCCUUGGGAAACACUAGAAAGACAAUUUAAGCUUAUGUUUCAAUUACCUUUGAAUUAACAAGACCCCGCACGUAAGGAUCACCGUGCGAUCAUCAGGUGCAGUUAGCCAUCGGAGGGAUAAACCAAAGUAGGUUAGUAACGUCCCAACGACCUCAUCACUUGUAUAGUCUACAUAAGAUAAAUAAACGCGACAUUUAUAUUACUUAUUAUCCAACAACAUUUAUAUCACUUGUAAGCCUAUAUAGUUUUACUUUAUGUUUUUUUUAUGAUGUUCUUUAGUUUACCUUUUGAUGAUCGUCUUGUUCUUCAUUUUUCUAGCAUAUAGCAUGUUAAAGCACCCAACAUCUAGUCUCAUUGUCCUAGGAUUCACGUGUGUCUUGUGCAUUGCUAGCUUAUUUGAAAAUUAUCCAAUUCUCAUCUUUUCACUAGCUGAAUCGAUUCAUCAUACUUUGAAUCGUAUCAUCUGAAGUUUCUGACUUCAAAUGAAACGAUUCACCAAAAUUUGAAACGCAUCACCAUUGAAUCGAUUCUUCAUAUUUUGAAUUGCAUCAUAAAAACUUUCUGACAUGCAUGGAAUUGAUUCAUAAAAGGUUGAAUAGUAUAUUUCUUCAUCCUUGGCUCACUUGAAUUGAUUCAAAUUUUCACUGAAUCAUAUCAAUCUUCAUAGAUCUCUGGCUUGUAUUUUUGCUGUCUGAAUCGAUUCACACAUUUAGUGAAUCGAUUCACUUUGUUGCUUUUGGUUGAAAUUUUACACCUGCCACUCCUCUCUAUAUAUACUCACCUCCUCAUAACUCCAAUUAUUCAAUCAUUUGUACCUAUUCUCUCUAGGUCUCAAAAACUCAUUGUUCAUAAAUUCUUCAAGAUUAAACACUUUUUCUUAGAAUCUCCUUGUACAUUGAGUCACAUGGAUUUUAUAGUGGGCUAGUAGGGAUUGUAAGUUGGUUCUUUAUAGGAGAUUGGUUUGGCUUAAUCAAGGCUCCAAAGUGAAGUGAAUAAUCUCACUCCACCUCCAAAGGUCUUGGGGGGUAUUUAUAAUUGUUCUUGCAAUCGAAGAGGAAUCGUUUACCGGAUGUAGCAUCAAAUACUUGAGUGAAGCGUUCGAAGAGGAGCAUGGGUAAUCAAGGAUUCGAAGAUUCAAGAAGCACCAAAUUCAAAGGUUAUUUGAAGUUUGGGGGAGUGCUUACAUAGGAGUUGAAGAACUAGGAUAGUUUCAAGGAACUCUUGUAAUCACAUUUGUAUUCAACAUUAUUACUAUUAGUGGAUAACCUUGGUGGAUGCGUUUUUCACCAAGAAGAGUUGACGUAGCUCAAAGCGAGGACGAAAGAGUGAACAACUAUAAAAAUAUUGGUGUCGUUCUCUUUUCCUUAUCCUCUUUAAUUUCCGUUAAUUGUAUAUGUCAAUUGAUUAAUUGAUAGUGUUGAAUUUUUUUUAAUUGAUCUAAGUACUUUUUGAUAAAAUUGAUCUAACUCCUUGAGUUAGGUUUUUACUAUUGAACUUGGAUUAAUUAGUAUCAAAUUCUAUCCAAUUCAUCAAUUGCUUAUAAAUUUUGUUUUUGAUUGAUAGCUUAUUAUAUUUUCUUAUAGGUUUGGAUUUGAAAUUGUCUAGUUUUGCAAAUUAUUCAAGAACUAUUAAUAUUUGAUUGUAAUAAAAUUUAUGUUGUCAAUCUCUCAGUUAUAUAUUGAAUCUUAUUAGCAUAUAGUGUUUAUCUUUUUGUAAUUGUUGUGAUUGUUCAAUCUUGUUUUCAAUUAGUCAAAACAUUUCAAAUAGAUUUUGAAAACUCCUUAAAAAGUUUCAAAAGAGCUAUUCACCCCUCUCCAACUAGUAACAUUAUUGGCCAUAUAGACCAACAACCGCUUUUGUCAUUCAUAAUUUCUAGUUCAGAACAGGAGCAGUUCAAGAGGAAGGCGAUUCUAGGAGCUUAAGAAGGAGUUUUAUCUUCUCCUUAUCUUUUAUAGGGUAUGUUUUAAUUUUUUUUAGUUUGUCUUAGUUAUCAUGUGUAAACUAGAUAUUUAUAGGAUAGGUUUCUAAGAUGAAUAUCUAUUUGUUUUGCUGGAUAAUUAUUUAAUUUAAUGUCGUUUAUUUUUGUUUAUUUUAUGUUCGCUAUUAAGUUUUAUUAGGAUUACUUUAUUUCGGUGCAGUGCAACUCUAGUUUAUGUACUUUGGUUGUGACAAAGCCUAAUAUUGAUGCUUAUAUCUUGAUAUUUAUAUAUACCUAUCUAGGAAGCAAGUGGUUAAUAACUUGACGAAAAAUAUCGAAAGCGAGUUGACCCUAGUAGUAAGUACUUAGGAGGUGACAUUACUAAUAUUGAGUAAAAUCUGCUAAAUCUAGGAUGUAACUAGUUAUUAAUUAGGGAAACAUGCAUAGUCUACUUAAGAUAAUUAAACGCAACAUGAAUCUUAUUUACUUCCAACAAAAUAUAUAUGGGGGAAUCGAAGAGUCUUAACCGCUACUUACUUUACUGCAACAAAACAAGUAACUUGCUCUGUUUCAAACAACUAAAAAUUGAAAUCGCUAACCCUUAACUCUUUUAUUUUAUAUCGUUAAACUAAAAUAAGUAACGUGAAUUGUUUAGGCGAAACAACAAUCACUUUAUUACUUGAUAAACGAUUUGGUACACUUACCUAAUCCGUCCAUCAAUAACCUACAAUACAUACACCCUCUCUAAUGAUACAAUCAGUAUCUCAGAGAGAGAGAGAGAGGGAGGGAGGAAGGGAGGGAGGGGAGGAGGGAGAGAGAGGGAGUGUGUGUAUGUUUGUAAAGGUGUGAAUUUUGAUAUCAUACCAGCGCAUAGCGGUGAUGCCACACUUCUAUAGUCGAGCUAGUUAUAACCAUUUGGUGAGACGAAAUAAGACAAUCUAUAAUUAAAAUAAUCUUUAGUGCCACAUAUCAUUUCCUCAAUAACAUCUAAGAGUAAAAAGCAAUCAUUUCAAGGUCUGUGAAUUUACAAAAUAAAAUAUAAAUUAAAAUACAAUU
rnacentral:lncRNA from 1 species